rnacentral:lncRNA from 1 species
UCAUGUCUACUGCGUGCGACACAUAGCAAGCAACUUCAAUCGGAAAUUCAAUAAUGCCAAACAAAAAGAAAUGUUGAAGAAAUUGGGUAAGAUUUCAUAUUUGAUGGUCACGUUUAUUUAAGUUUCAUAUAUACUUAAAAUUGUUAUUGAUAACUAAUUUUAUGUAGCCUACACUCCUUGCAAGCACAUUUUUUAUCAAAAUUUAGAAAAAUUUCGUCAAGUGAGUCCAGCCAUAGCAACAUGGAUUGAUCACAUUUCAAAGGAAAAAUGGACUAUGGCUUAUGAUAGAGAAGGACGUCGAUAUGGCCACAUGACAACCAACCUCUCAGAAUGUAUCAAUAAGGUUUUGAAGGAUUGUCGCAACAUUCCCAUAACAACAUUGGUCAAAUCAAUGUACAGUAGGUGUUGAAAGUACUUUGUUGAGCGUGACCCCCAAGCCCAAAGACAGUUAAAUGAAGGACAAGUAUAUUGUUCAAAGCUUGUUAAAGAACUUAGAAAAAAUCAAGAACAAGCUUGUUCGCACAUCGUUCGCAUGUAUGACAUCCACUCCACAAGGUUUGAAUUAGAGGAGACCUUCAAUCUUAUUAUGCAACGUGGUGGGCAGUUAACUUGAAUGGUCAUUAUUGUCAAAUGCGGAAGGUAUUAUGCGCUUCACUAUCCAUGUUCACAUAUUGUUGCAGCUUGUGGUUACGUGAGCCUGAACUACUACCAAUAUAUAGAUGUUGUUUACACAAAUGAACACAUCUUAAAAGCUUACUCCGCACAUUGGUGGCCUCUUGGGAAUGAAGCGGCUAUUCCUCCUUCUAAUGACGCAUGGACACUUAUCCCUGACCCAACUACAAUUCGUGCGAAAGGUCAGCCAAAAUCAACAAGGAUAAGGAAUCAGAUGGAUUGGGUCGAACCAUCUGAGCACCGACAAAAAUGCAGUAGAUGUGGAGCCGAAGGGCAUAACAAGCGUUGUUGUCCAAUGCAAUCUGAGCGUGGGAGUUGUUCAAAUCAUUGAUUUAUGUAUGUUAGUCGAGUGACUUGUAUUUUUUUAAGUUCUCUUCAAUGUAUUGAAUUUGUGGGGAUGAAUAAAUUCGUUAGUUAAAAACAUUACUUAUUUUGGUUUGUGUACAUUAGUUAUUUGUGGGGUUCAAUGAAUUCGUUAGUUAAAAACAUAACCCUAAACCCUAACCCUAAAUCCUAAUCCUAAACCCUAAGCCCUAAACCUAACCCCUGAGCCCUAAACCCUAAACCCUAAGCCCUAAACCUAACCCCUAACCCCUAAUCAAAACCCAUAAGCCUUAAACCCUAAACCCUAAGCCCUAACCCUAACCCAUACUCCAAAACCCUAAGCCUUAAACCCUAAGCCCUAAGACUAAUCAAAAACCCUAAACCCUAAGCCAUAAACCUAACCCCUAACCCUUAAUCCAAAAUCCUAAGCCUUAAACCCUAAUCCCUAACCCUAAACCAUAAACACUAAACCCUAAACCCAAACCCCUAAAUCCUAAACCCUAAACCCCUAACCCUAACCCUAAGCCUUAAACCCUACCCAUCAAACCCUAAACCGAUAAACCCUACACCAUAACCCCUCAACCCUAAACCUAGGUUGAGUGAAAGUGGGGAGUCCAAUGCUGUAGUUAAGGGUAUUCAAAUUGAUACUAAAGGAGAACUAUCUACAACGAUGAACUAUGGACUUAGUCAAUGUGGAGUAUCUGCACAUAUGGCGUUGGUGUUCGGCUUUAGUUACUAAAACUACUUAUUUUUCGUUUGUCUACUUUAUUUUUAUUUUUAAACUUUCUUUAUUAUUAUAGUUUGAUGCGCCACAUAAACUAUAUACGUUAGUAAGACAUAAUAAAUGAGAUGCGAUAGAUUAAUUGUCAAAAUCAAAUGUCAUACAUACAACAACAAAUUUACACAGAGACAUCAAAAUCAUUCAUUAUGGUGUCCGUGAUGUCGUGAGGAUGUGCCACAUGGUCGAUCCCAUCUUCGCUUGACGAUCAGGAUUUCUUCUGCCGCGUUGUCUCCCCGCUUCUACUUGCUCAGCCUCAGUAGAAAACUCCUGACGCAAAUCAACACCUAAUAAGUCGCCCAUAUCAGGUAUUGCUUUGGGUACAUUCCAUUGCGGAGCAAAUGGGGCGUUAGGUGUUGCCAUUGGGGCAUCGUGUUGCUGUGAAAGAGUCAUAGUGGGCCAUGAAAAAUGAGGUUGUGUUUCCGCAACACCACCGUACGAAUGUUCGCUCGCAGAAGUAUCAGUGUGAUGACCUUCAAAAGGAUACUGAUACAUCUGUGAAGGAUAUUGGGAAAAUGUUGUUGGCGUGUAAUACAUUCCAUGACCACGCUCCAUCAUUUGUUGGAAAUAUUCUUCCGCUUCAACAGGCUCCCUUCGUCUGCCUAUGCCCCGAGUUUCAACACUUGACUAAAGAAUGUGAAACUCUUGUGCUGGGAAUUCACACUCUGAUGCUGGACCAUGUGACACUGGCUCAGUGAUUCUCUCUUGCUCUUCGGAUAUAAUCGCUAACUUUUCCACGUAAGGCACGAGAUCAUCAAUUGUCCAUGUGUUCCUCCCUUGUGGUGACACCAUAUACUGUAAAGUCUCCACAACUUCACCCUGCAAUUUUUAGCAUCAAGAAAUUAAUGCUCAUGCUUAACAAAAUAAUUUGAAGUUAAACAUUGAAAAAUAGAUAAAUACCAAUGUAGUUGUGUUUGCAUUGUUUGGGUCGACAAACAUCUUUGUUUUACGCCUGUACCAGACCAUGUAGUCGGAGUUAAAACCCAGUAGGCCCUCCUGUCGAGGAUAAACGUCGACCCUAAACUCAUCUCGAUUGUUCCAAUGACUAAUCAUUGGGGCCAACAGGUGGAACCAAUUCUCAUCUUGUUUGCCUUUGAGCGUUAUGCCAUGGAGAUUCUGCGGUUGCGAAGGACACCCGGGAAUAGGUUGUUGCAAUCCAAAUUGUCGUAAAACUCUAUCGGGUUAGUGCCACUCAACAACAUGGAAAAAAAUCAGUGGCACCACCGCGAACCAGGCUACACUUCCAACCACACAAAUUGGAGGCAACGCUGCCAUCACAGUUGUUGUGUAUGGCUCCCAGACAAACUGCAUAUAACAACACACUUGUCAAUUUUCAGUCAAACAUAACAUAUUAACAUUUCAUUUAAACAAUACAUUACAAUCUUCUUACCUCAUGUCGUUUCAUGAGAUCCAAUUUGCGACGGAAAACUCUAAGAUCAUCAUUGCCAGUAUGCUUAUUUCCACGUCGCAGCCACCUACAAUAAAAAUGAAAUCAUCAUUGUCAACACAUUCCAUCAUUAAUUAUUUUCAAUUCAAAUCUAAUUUUUUAAACGACAAACCUGUGUCCGAGUGGUUUAUUUUCUAUUACGGGAGGCGUCCUCUUUGGAGCCAAAGUCGUGCAUCGUUCGCAUGCCCACAUUUGGAUUAAGAUGCACAUACCUCCGAUUGAUUUAACUUUGUAAUCGGUGGCGCUGCACAUCUCUCUAUAUAAAUACGCAAGCACGACAGGUCCCCAAGCAUACGUGUUGCACUGUUCAAAGUCACAUAAAAAUUGUAGGUACCUUAAGGAAACUCUGCUACUGCUUUUGUUAACAAAGAGGACACCUCCUAUGAAUCGAAUGAUCCAUGCACGGGUAAACCUUUGUAAUUGUUCAACGUUACCAUCAUGAAUAUUUAUGUGAGAAAAAUGGUGAGCCAGCCAACUUAAUUUUACCACACUGCCUUCAAGUUCGCCUUCCUGUGGUCUAACUCCUAAUAAUUCUUCACAUAAAUCGGCCUAAUCAAGAUUUGUUGAACCAAUUAAUGGUGUCCAUUCAGUAUGAAGACCUAAUAAAACUGACACAUCUUGAAGAGUAAUGGUAGCCUUUCCGCAUCUCAAGUGACACGUGUGUGUUUCGGGCCUCCAUCUUUCCAUGAACGCACUAAUUAAGGCCGCAUUUAUCUUUAGGUAUCUCAUCUUCAUUAUCCAAUAAAACCCAGAUUGCUGAAGUAGAGGAACAAUUUCCUCUGGUAUUUGUUCUUCACCUUGAUACGUCGGGACAACUCGUCUGAUGUGUAAUUUUCUGUCUGGUUCCCCAUUCCAAACAUGUUCUGAAACAUGCUUUGGUUGCAUCCACAAAACGUCACCAUCAAUUGGACCAGACCUAGUUUGUAUAUUUGAUGAGCAUGAUGACGAAGAUGCCAUUGAUCCUACAAAAUAAAAUAUAAUACAAUUAAUUGACGAUAAAAUUUAUACAUUAAUUAUACAUACACAAAUUAAGUAUAUUUACAAAAAAUUAAUUAAAUAUAUAAAACAAAUGGAGUGAAAUCAAUAACAAAAAAUAUAUAUUUUAAUAACUAAAUAUAUUAUAUGAAUAAUAUAACUUAAAUAUACUCUCCAAAUAAUUUCAAAUACAUGCAAACACAACUUAAAAUAAAUAACAAAUUAUAUUUUUCAGAAAUUACAUUUUUCAAUAACAAAAUAUAAUAUACAAUAACGGAAAUUUAAAUAUAUUUUACAAAUAAAUUAAAUCACAUCUAAACACAACUUUACAUAAAUAAAAAAUUAUAUAUAUAUUCUACAAAUAAAUUAAAUUACAUACAAAUAUAAAUUCUACAAAUAACCUAAUUCAUAUAUAUUCUACAAAUAAAUUAAAUUACAUACAAAUAUAAAUUUAAAUAUAUAACAUAAUAUUUAUAUUUUCGACUAAAAAUUAAAAUAAUGUAUAUAAAAAAUUAAUGACUUCAAAUAAUUACGAGUAAAAUAAUUUAACAUACAAAAUCAAUAAUUUAAAAUAUGUAAAAUUAUUCUAAUUUAAACAUAACAUAUGAAACUAAUAAUAACUAAAACUAACGUAAUAUAAAAAAUUUAAUUCAUACCUAAUUUUAAAUUAAUAAUUUACAGUACAUAAAAUUAUUCUUAAUCUAUGAUAUCAAAUAUUUAAACUAACUGUAAUCUACCAUAUACAAAAUUUAAACUAAAGCUAAUCUAAAAUUAAUAAGUUACGGUACCUAAAUUUAUUUCUAAUCUAUUAUAUAAAAAAUUUAAUUCAGACCUAAUUUUAAAUUAAUAAUUUACAGUACAUAAAAUUAUUCCUAAUCUAUGAUAUCAAAUAUUUAAACUAAAUGUAAUCUACCAUAUACAAAAUUUAAACUAAAGCUAAUCUAAAAUUAAUAAGUUACGGUACCUAAAAUUAUUCCUAAUCUAUUAUAUAAAAAAUUUAAUUCUGACCUAAUUUAAAAUUAAUAAUUUACAGUACAUAAAAUUAUUCCUAAUCUAUGAUAUCAAAUAUUUAAACUAAAUGUAAUCUACUAUAUACAAAAUUUAAACUAAAGCUAAUCUAAAAUUAAUAAGUUAUGGUACCUAAAACUAUUCCUAAUCUAUUAUAUAAAAAAUUUCAACUAAACCUAAUUUACCAUAUAAAAAAUUUAAAUUAAAUCUAAUCUACCAUAUAACAUUAAGAAUUGAAACUAAACUAUAGAAAAUUAUUAGCUUACAGUACCUAAAACCAUUCCAUUAUCAGAAUAUAAACAUUUACAUAAAUAAAAACAUACAAAAUAUUCAAUAUAUAACUUACAAGUUUUUAAGAAAAUGGAAGAACACCAACAGCAGCAAGCAAUUAGCUCUCUCUCGACACAAGAAUUUCACUCUCUUGGUUAACACAAGCAAACUCGAAAGCAAGGAAUGCAGGCAAGGAAUGAAUGCCAUGACCCAGCUUUUAAACGAAGAAGCACACAAAUCGCCAAUGGCCUUUGCGAUUUCAAACCAACGCAAAUCGCCAAUGGCAUUUGCAAUUUCUGCUGCUCCUGCAGACUGCACUGCUCCUAGCCUGCUGCACUGCUCCGACGGGACGUGACAUAGCAGGCUCAAAUCGCCAAUCAGCCUGGCGCUUCCACUGUGGCAGCCUGAAAUCGCCAACGAGCUUGGCACGUCCCCCAGCGCUUGCCACAUGUCACUCAUGCACGAAGUCGCCACUCCCACUUGCGACUUGCAUGCUGGGUACGUGCAAAAACAGCACCCCCUAGGAAAAACUUUGAAAAAAGACCUUAUUUCGGGAAAUAGUUUCUAAAUGAACCCCAAACUGGGAAAUUUGCCUCCAUGAGAAGCAGCAAAAAUUAGGAAAAAAAAUUGAAUGAAAAAGAAGAAGAACACAAACAAAAACAAUCUCACAAAUCAACAAUAAAAUUCAACAACAACAAGAAUACACAAUCAAUGACAAUCCCAAAAAUGAAGAACAAUAAAAAUGAGAAAAAAAUUAAAAACCAAAAUUAUAGAUCUAAAGAAGUAUGAGGGUGGCGUGACGGAGAAGAAGGGAAGUGGAGAGGGGGUGCGGCGGAGUGAGGAGAUGGCAGUGGUAGCAUGACGAAGAAGAGGGGAGGGAGGAGAGGUUCACGGUAGUGGGAGGAGAGGAUGGUUUUAGCAGUGGCAUGGCAGAGAAGAGAUGAGGGAGGAUAAGGACACAAUUCUAGGAGGGUGAGGGUGGUGCGGUCGCAACAUAGCGGAGCAAAGAAGGGGGAAGAGAGAAGCAUCAUACUAGGAGGGUGAAGGUGGCACAGUCGCAACAUAACGGAGCAAAUAGGAGGGAGGAGGGGGACGUGACACAGGGAAGAUGAGGGUGGCGCAAUAGAAGGAGGGUGGGGGUUGGAGGGUAGUAGCGAUGUGUGUUGGUAAGUGAAAUGGAGAGGGAGGAGUUGUUGUUAGGGAGAAGUUGAAAUAGAGAGGCAUGGGAAAGUGGGAAAUGAGAAGGGAAUAGUUUUUUUUUUCUUUUGAAAUCCAACCAUUACAGUAGUGGAGAAAUUUUCAUCUGUGUGCUACAAUGUAGUUGUAUCUUUUAUCGUUUCCUACACAUAUAGUAGCAAAAAUUAAUAAAAAUAGACUUUUUUUUCUCCUAUAAAUUUAGUCAUUGUGGAACAAUUUUUUUUCACACCAUUUUCAUUCUUGUUUCUUUCUCAUUCUCUUGUUUAUUUAUGUCACUACUUACGUGAUGAAUCCAAAUCAAUUUAAUUGACAAACUUAUAUCAAUUUGUGGCAUUUAUCUUGAUUACAUUUGUGAAGACCAUCCCAAUGUCACAAGAAGAAAAAUGAAAGUUAUAUGCAAAAUGUCAAGAAGGGACAAGAAAGGAUGUGGAGAAAGCAUUUGAUAUGCUCAAAUCUUGAUUUGCAAUACUAUGUGGUCCAUCGAGUAAUUGACAAACAGGAGGUACCGUAAAGAACAUAAUAUUGACAUGCAUUAUAUUGCUCAACAUGAUUAUUAAAGACGAAUGAGAUAUGUAUAAUGGUAACGUUGAUGUUGAUUACAAUGAUAUUUAUGAAGAGAUUUCAAACAUUGAUGUUUCUUGUGAUGUUCAUCCCAAAUUUGUUGCGUACCUAUAAACAAGACGUUAUAUGUACAUAAGAAUAGUUCAUCAACAACUUCAACCAAACUUAGAGGACCAUACUUGGAAACGUUUCAAUUAGAAUAAUGAUGAAAUUAAAUUUCUAUUGCUCAAUGUCAAUGUAUGUAUUUUUUUUUCAAUGAUAUGUAUUAUCAUAAGUUUAAAUUAUCUUCAUGAUAAAUAUUUUAAUUAUUAAAAGAAUUUGUAUUUUUGAAUUAAUUUUUUUCAUCAUUAAAUUUAUAUAAUUAAUUUUAUUUUUAAAAUAAAGUAUUAUCUAAUGAAUAUAUGGUGAAAUUAGAGUUUAAAGAAUAAUAAAGAUAAGAUGAAAAUAAGAUUUUAGAUAGGAUUUAAAGAAUACUAGUGAUUAAAGGAAAAUAAGACUAACAAACAUAAGUAUAAAAUAAGCAUUUAUCAUCUUCUUUUUUCUCCUCAACCACCUUAAUUUUUAAGUGAUAUUUUAUUUAAAAAAUAUACAUAUUAGAAGUAUAUCUUUGGAACUACGAAUCAUAAUUCCGAAAAUAUAAUUUUGGAAAACAAAAGGAGUGUACUUCUUUAAGAAAAAUGGUAGAAAAAGAAUAUAGACGUGUACUUAGAAAAUAUGGAUGUAUAAAUAGCAAUAGCCAAAAAUUAAAAUGUAAAAAAUUAUAUUAAUUAGGCUUUUCAGCCCCUCCAAUUACAAAAAUAUAUGUAUUAAAAUUAAGGGAAUUAUUAUUGGUCUCAUGAUAAUUGUUAUUGGCCCCUACCAAGGAACUGAGACUUUUUACUCCAAAAACACUUUCCCUAUGGAAUCAAGAUUCCGUUGUACCAAAUACACAAUGAAAUUAUGAUUUCGUUACACAAAACACACAAAGGAAUCGUGAUUUCAUUACGAACAAAUUUUUCCCCCUAUACACAACACAAUUGGGAUUUUGUUAUAUUCAUACACAACAAAAUCAAGAUUUGGUUGUUCUUUUUGUCACUCCAAAUAUAACAACGAAAUCAUAAUUCCAUCGUUAUCUUUUACAACACUCCUCCUAACAAAAUAGAAUCACAAUUUCAUUGUGAAUAAUUUUUUCAUCAUAACAGAAUCAUGAUUUUGUUGUGAUAAACAAAAAUUAUCUGCAAUAGUUGGGAUAAAAAAUAUCCACAACAGUAUCUUGAUUCCGUUGUGGUGUUUUUUUAAAAAAGAAGAAGAAAAAAACACAUUUGUGUGAAGCUUAAAUGUGUUUUUUUAUUGAACACUACAACACUGCAUUUAUCGUCCAUUUAUUGACUAAGAUUGAGAUUGCUUUUUUCUAAUACGUAUUAACUGAACACCACUUUUUCCAAGACGUCUUUAGUGAACAAUUGUUUUUACUUAUACACAUAACAACCAUAUUAAAUAUAAACACAAUCUAAACCAUUUAUGUUUUUUAUGUCAUCCCAAUUAUUGAUAUGAUAUGUGUUACAAGAGAACAUUAGAUCAUCUAAUAUAAAUAGCAGUAGAGAUUUGACGCAACUCAACACUUUUAUUAGAUAUUCACCAUAUUUCUUAAAACAUGGAGAAUGUAUUUGUUUGUGUGUAUUGCAAUAGUGGUAUGAUUCCAUCAUAUGAAGGGAUGUUGUUUGAAUAUCCUAGUAGUCCUCAAGUCAUCACAAUAAGUGACCACAUGUUGCUUGAUGCCUUAAGGAAAACAAUUAUUGAUGCUAUCAGAGGUUGUAGAUUUUUACUUUAUCUUUUUUACCGUUAACCAAUUUACAUUGGUGAUGGUUUUGUUGAAUACAAGUGUAUGAAGCUUAAAUGUGACGAUAAUGUAGGAAAAAAAUUCAUCUUUUCGGAAUUUAGUAGCAAAGGUUUGAUUAAGUUGAAUGUAAAUUUUUAUCGAUUUCUAGAUGAAAUCCUUGCCCUACUGUGCAACCCAAUGAAACCAAGAUUUUUUUAUGAGAUUAUUGCUCUGAUGCAUGUUAAAUCUGUAGAGUCAUAUUUUUACUUUAUCAAAAUCAUACGUUGUUUGUUUUUUUUAUUUUCAAAAAAACUCUAUAUUAUUAGUGCUUAUGUAGUUGUUGUUUAUCCAUAUAUUUGUUUUAUGAAUCAAUUGAAGAAUUUUGUUACUAUUAGGCGCGUGUUGUUUAAAUAGUCGACAAACACAAAAAAUAAGUAAAUGAAACACACCAUCAACUAAAAAAAUGUAUGCCAAAACAAUAAAAAAAACUAUAUAAAUAAUAAUAAUGAUAAUAAUAAUUAAAUAAUCAUCCGCACUUACCCCUCUUCUUGCCACCUUUGCCAAUAUCCUUGGCAGCCCUCUUCCUUUGCCUCUCUAAGCUACACCCAUCUUUGAAGCCCUCAUGUAGAAACUGUAGGGCUUAAUGUAUGGUUUGAUGAUGACUCAUGCCCUAUGGCACAACUCUGAGGUCCAACAAGUUAUGCAUGGAGCCUGACAUCAUUUGGAACCGAUCCUGCAUGAACAAUUUCAAUUAGUAACUAUUUUUAAAGUGACAAUUUAGGGGGAAAAUUAACAAAAUCCAUUUUGAUUUACUUGGCAAGAGUAGUCUCCAUCUGGUACAUACUCUAUCAAUGGUUGCUCAGGCAAGAACUGCACUGGGAUGGGCAAUAAAUGUACGAGAGGACGUGGUGGCUCUCCCUCCUCUAGCAGAAUGGCAUAGGGGUGGGAAAUACAAUAAAACCAAAGCAGAUAGUCAGGGGUGCAAGCCCAAGGACCCAUAGAUGACACAACAUCACCCAACGAAAUGACAUGUUGUUGCCACUCCGCCCACACCGCAUUAGAAGCUGCAUAUGGUGAGACAUUAUGGUGGAUGGUGUGGGAUGCACUGAACAUGACCAAACUACCUUAGCACCCUCUCUGGAAGAUAAGGCCAUACGUUUGUCUCGCACUUGAUGAAGCCAGAGAAAAAGGCCUAUUGGGGGAAAGGCCUAACACCUCUAUGGCACUCGUAAAGACAUUAGACAACAAUAUUUAUCUAGAGGCCAUCCAACUUCUCCCUGAGCAGAUGAGCCUACCCAGUGCCUUGUGUUGGCUUUCAUUUACUAGCUACCAUGUCAUCCAGAGUACCUGCCCCAAGCUUGAAAUAGCCAACAAUUGGCAGAUGUGCAUACGCCAAGAUUGUAAAAAACCAUUGUCAAACAAAUUAAUCACAAUAAUAAAGAAAAUAAAAAUACAAAUGAUCAUCCAGUGCAGUGACUCCUAGGCAUACCAAUGACAAUCAUCCAGGUUGUUGACGUAAAGGAGGUAGGCGACAUAGAUGUGAGUCAAGGACUUGUCGACAAAUAUUGUAAUGUCGACCAAGUGCAAAAGAUAAGUUAUGGAAGCUCAUACGUACAAUCCUAAUUGGAUACCGGUAAUAUAGGUCUACUAGCCACGACAACCUAACCCUGGCACCCACGGUGGUUGUUGCUAUAGCCUUUUCCUCUAUUGAAAUUCCAAGGCGAGUCAUGAGCAGAAUCUUCAUGGUCGCUCUAGUAAAUGUGGAGGGGAUAUGAUCAAUGGGCAUCCCUAUCACAAGCAGAGUGCAAGAGACAUGACAUAUCAUCCAAAGUGAUGGUCAUCUCUUUGACUGACAGGUGGAAGAACGAGGUCUCCUAGUGCCACCUCUCCAUAAGGGCAUUCACGAAGCCCUUGUUUACGAAGUGUUUCGUUCCAUAACUAGGGCUAAUAACCCUGACCAUAACACAUAAGUCCCUAUCGUUGGAUCAAUGAGAAGUGGUAAAACCUAACUACCGUGGCUGACCAACUUCAUCUCUGGCCAUAAUUGUCGGAUCCAUACAUGACCAACAUAGUGAUCCUUGUAAGAUCAUAUCAAUGACAAAUCAACUCAACCUCCUCCAAAUGGAAGUCCAAUGAUCAUGUCAGAUGCAUGUGCCUCUGGCUAUGGCUCUGCUGACAAAUGUUGUCAGUAAUGUGCUGACACAGUCAGCCUUUGAUGCCUCUCUCCAUCAUCAUCCCCUUCAUGUGAGGGGCUUGGGCCCUUAUAAGAGGGAUCACGUCCAGCCACAUAUGAAGCAUGUUUGGUCCAAGCCAUAUGAAAUUAAAGGAAAAAUAAUUAAAUUGUUAAUAAAAAAUAACAAAAAAAAUAAUUAUUAAAAAUAAUAACAAAAUAAAAAAAACUUUAAUAACCAAAACAGAAUCAUGAUUUUGUUUUUUGUUUUGUGUUUUGCCAUAAUACACAAUGGAAUCACGAUUCUGUUGUGAUUUUUGGCAAAACCUACAAGAGAAUUGUGAUUCUGUUUUGUGUACUUCAAAACCCAAUGAAAAUAAUGAAAUAACAAUUUUUUUUGCCAACCAUAACCUAGAAAAAAAAUUACCAGAAGAUUAGGGAAUGGAUGGAUUACGCGACAAAGUGAGAAGAGAAAGGUUGAGGAGGAGGAGUAGGUUGGGGAAGGAGAAGGAAAGGAUUUGUUGGAGUUGGUGAGGAAUGGGGAAGGAGAAGAAGGAACUCAAGAAGGAAGAAGGGGAAAAGGGGUGUCAGGUAGGGGUUAAGGAAGAAAAAGGAGGGGUUAGAAAUUUAAAAUAAGGUAGGAUGUACUUUUCUCCUCAAUUUAUGAUAGGAUAAUAAAUUUCAAGCGUUAAAAUAUAAUUUCAAUUGUUACAUAUAUCAUUUUUCUUUUUCUUUAUUUUUGACUAAAUCAUUUUUCAUUUUCUUAUAGUAUCAUAAAAAAAACACCAAAAAGUCAUUGGUCCUAAUGAUACUAGAUUCGAUCUUCUUAAAUAAGAUUUUGGGUUUCAACUAAUUAAUAUUCCAUACCAAUAAUAUAAUUACAAAAAAAUGCUAACAUAAAAAUAAAAUAUUUAAUUUUUCUUCUUCCACUGCAUUAUAAUUUAAGUAUUAGAGAAGAACUCAAUCCAAAAUACUAAUCCAUUAGAUGAUGCAAUUUGAUCGAUGGAUUAAAAACUAUUAAGCUUCUUGUUCUUAUUUUAUAAGCCUUAUAUUUGAAUAGAAUAAAAAACUUAUAAUGUAAUACUUAAGUCCUAAAAUUUUCUUAUUCAAUAAGAUGGAAAGGCAUGUCAAAUCGAAUAAACAAAGGGAAAAGAAAGCAACAAAAAAAAAAGCUACCAUCAAGAUCUAAAUCUCCAAGGAGUAAGAAGCUUUUUGGAUAGCAAAGCUUAAAAAGAAGAAGAAAAACAACAUUUCCAAAAGAGAGGAAAAUAGAUAAAUCCAACAUGGGUUCAACAAACUACUCUAGCACUAGCCUUUGGAACAAUUUCAAGCAAUACAAAUUCCAAAGGUUAUGUUUGUCUUGGCCUUUGCUUUCUUUUUCCGGCCUUUGGAUGAAACAAGAAUGAAUGGGGGGUCCAGAUUCACCUUUGAACUUUCAGGUUCUUCCUCCACUUCAUUCACCCAAAACUUAGAUAUCAAUGUAAACUCUUGUCGAAUUGUGACAUACCACAAUUCCAAUGAGUUAGCAAAAUCAACGGUAAGAGCAAUCUCAUUACCUGUGUUGAUUAUUAAUGAAUUAGUUUCGUUAGGAGAUGGUUGGCCUUGCAUCAUAACCUACUACAAAACAAGGUUAUCAAGAGAAAUAGAGUUUUCAGUAACUGCUUUAGGGAGCUAGAGUUGGUUCUCUUGGAUUAGUGCUUGAGUUUCCCCAUGUCGCAACCUACCCUUCGACGGGAGGGUGAGGGGAGAUAAAAGGUGCAUCUUCCCAAAAAGGAGAAUGCGUGGGAGUAGCCACCAACGUUUAUUCGAGAAAAAUGUUAGAAAAACCAAAAAGGGGUUUGCGAAUUUCAAAAAUAAGGGUUCGGGAGUUGUUUACGUGAGGGGAAGGUAUUAGCACCCCACAAAUCCAUCACAAGGGACGACAACCUUUAAUCGAGUGUGCAAGAAUGUGACUUCAAUAUUAUUUAUUUUUUGGGGUCAACAAAGGUAUUGUCCUUGCUCCUACAUAUCCUCAGGUGCGAUGAGGAAUUCAGACCUACGUAGUUCUUAAAAGCAAGAAAGUUGUGUGUUGAGUUGAUUUUAAACUUUUGAAAGGUUCUUUUUAACCAACAAAAAUAAAAGAGACCGUUAAGGCAUUGGAUCUUGAAUGGAUUCAAGCGACUUUUAUGGAUAAAAACUCAAUUACAUGCUGAAUUCACCUUGGUUUUACUUAUUAACUUUCAAUCCCUUUAAAGGAUGAUUUGUGACGUAAAUGAUCGGUCAAAAUUCACUUUACAAAAAGAAAAGAGAUUAUUGAUGGUAGAAGAAUGAGAUGACGAUGUGCAAAGCAACAAAGAGAACCCCUAAGGGUGCAUAGAUCGUAUCCAAAUCCUUAAAACAAAUACUAACUGGAUGACAAAUGAAGAACACUGAACGAAGAACGAUGUAGAAGUCGAUUACAGUCGCAAUUCAGUAGCGCCUCGGCCUCAUUUUUCUCUUCUUUCUUCUCCUUCUCUCUGAUUUUCACUGAAAUCUCUCAAUGUUUGAAAGCUAAACCCUUUCUUCAGCCCACCUCAUGCCUAUUUAUAGGAAAUGAGGGGGUUUAGUGGAUCUACAGCUCGCCCAAACAAGUUCUUGCUUCAACCUGAAGUAACCUUGCUCGCCCAGGCGAGCUGGUUACUUCACCCCAAGCUAUUUGGGGGCCCAAGCGAGCCAGAGGCUAGCCUGGGUGAGUCAGUGUUUAGAAAAAGGCUUAAAAUGACCCUUUUGCCCUCCAUUUUGGGUAUUUUCCGCAUUCUUUACCAAAACGUUGAAUGAUCUUUCGUCUUGCACGACAAAUGGUGUCGAAUAGCUCAAUUUGGCUAGCGAGAAUCAAAACGUUAGCGAAUGAUAGUUCCUGGAUGAAAUUAAGGUCUGGCAGUUGCGCCUCUUUACUUAUCUUUUAUUGAAAAUGAAAAGGUAAGUAAAGAUAAGGACACUAAUUUCAUCCAAGCGAUCUUGCUAUCUGACCAGCAACUGGCAAAAACCAAAGUGGUGAAACCUGUCGAAAGCGAUAUGCAUAAUCAUCAUGGAUCAAUAGGAGUUUAUAAGGUCGGAUUUUGUAGGAACUUUUGGCUUUGUUUGUUCUGACCUUUCCCCUUCCUUUUUCCCUUUCUCUUUGUUUGGUGUGGAACAGGAGAGCAGACACAAAGACUUGGUUAGUAACUAAAGCAAGCGAUCACUUUAAACCCCCCCUCCCCCGUGUCUUAACCAAGUUAUUAUUGCUCUUCUCUUUUAUUUUUCUUUUCGACAAUUUUGCACAUUGUUGAGACAUCGUUUGGUCCAAAGAACUUGUUUUUCUUUUCUAUUCUCCUUUGUUUUCCUUCUAUCUUUGAUUGAUUGAUUCUUUCUCUUUCUUUUUUUUUUCUUUUUCUUUUGCUUUCUUUCUUUGUGUUUUUAUUUUGCUUUUUUUUUGUUUAGACGAACACCUCUAACCAAAAAUAAUAGAAGCUUUGCUUAGAAGACCCCCCUGCUCUCUCACCCUAGGGUAAGGUUGGAAACUUCCAUCCUAGGUCAAGGUUAUGGCAAAAAGCCUAUGUUUGGUUCAAAGGCUUGCAAAUGGCAAAACAUAAUGUAUAUUGGGACAUCUGUUUGGCCAAUGGCUCAGAAAGAAGGGAAUGUCCAGAUCAUUUCCACAAAACGCGUAUUAUGAUAAUUAGAAAUUCAUGCAAAAUCAAUCAUAGCACAUAUCCAUGGAGGCGCUCAAAUAUAAGGCUUUGUGGCCACACAAACACUAAGGCUUAGGGUUUGUUUCCAUAUUCAGGCCAAACCAGUGUUUCAAUGAUUGCUCUUUUAUCAAGUCAUACAAAACAUCCGAGUCCAUUUUGGCAUUCAGGAAAGUCUUUCAUUGUUUUCACCCUCUAGGUGCACAUUUUUUUUUCAAAAAAAAACCUUUCGUGUUUUGAUCCGCGAACUUUCCAAAGAAAACUAGCGAUUAUUUAUUUUUAAAAGCAUGUUAGUUUUAUUUUAUUUUUUUAGAAAAAGUUUGAAUCCUAGGCAAAGUCAUAACCCAAGACUGCACUUAUUAAAGGGACAAAGCGUGCGUGAAAGAAAAGAAACCAUACACAAAUCCUUUUUGUUUAGUUUUUUUCUUGUUUCAAACAAACCACCACAAUGAAAUAACAUGAAAACAUACUGGAAGUGAUAAAAUAAAGACAAGUUCCAUCACAAUGAAAUAACAAACAAAAUACUGAAAGUGAUAAAUAAAAUAAAGACGAGUUCACAAUUUUAAGCGAUCCUGGUCAAGCAGCUCAGCCUCCUCAAAGGAAGAAGUCCAUCACAUCGGCCAUGUCAUCGACUUCUUGAGCUCCAUCUUCAUCUCUUGGGGCCUCUGUGGGCCCUACCCCUGCCUGAAAAUUGGGCCUACCUUCAGGCCAUGCAACUGUGGCCCUGAACUGCUCGAGAGUAGGCCUUGGGUAAGGACUGGGGUUCUGGUGCUGUUGAUGCAGGGUAUACUGAUAAAAGCUCUCAUUCAACUGCACCUGGCCCCUAUGGUUGGUCGCCUACUAGUCAGCCAAAUGUUGCAUUUAGAGUUCCAUCCUCUACAUGUGAGCUGAGAUGGACUCUAGAGAUGGUGGCUGCUGUAGAGGUGGCGGUGGUGCAUCUAUGGCUAGCUGCUGCUGCUGGUCCUGCCCUGGUUGUUGUGCCUGCCUUGGCAUGCAGUACUUUUCAAUGAAGGACCUAUUAAUGAGAGGCCAGAUGAGCUUUGUGGGUGUGACCGACACCCCAUAGAAUUGGCAGAGACCUGUGAUCAAGGCCGGGAACCCCAGUGCUCUGUUGGACUUUUCUGGUCCACUGGGUGUCUUGGAGGCGUGAUCCCUACAAAUUGGUAAAUGACAUCUAAGAUUAGCUAGGCCACAUGAAUACUGACCUAGGUCAAGAUAGCGCUGACCAGCUGGCAUUUUGGCAGGGGAAGAUCAGAAUUAUGAUCGCUGGGAAGGAUGUUGCUGAGAAGCAGUGUCAUCCAGAUUUUUUUUAAGGUGGUCAUGCUAGUGCGCUUGAUCCACACCCGCCUUCCUGUCACGCUUCAUGCAAAGUCCUGUCCCGGAAUGCACAACAGCUGGCCUAUGGCCUCCUCAUCAAAUCCCGAAGCAUGGCUCCUCCUUUCACUGAACUCGCAAUGCUGCCUUUCCUCCAAGACCAACGGAUGCCCCAAGAACUGGUUAAUGGCAUCAUCAUCAUAGGGGACCCAUUCGCCCCGCACCCAGGAGCGCUUAUCCCUGACUCCUUCCUCCAUGGGCCAUGCAUUCGCGUAGAAUUCCAUGACUAUUUCUGGGUCAUAUUUAACCACGGGCCCUGUGAGUUGAGUCCAUUGCCUCCUGGCAACUUCCUCCUGGAACUCCGUGUAUUCCCCCUCUCUCAGUUGGACCCGUCUCUCUUUGAGGAAAGACCAACUCUUGAUUGCUUCAAAGCGGUGUUGGUGUUCCUCACUUUGGAAGCGGUGUCCGUCAAAUUCUAUGUCUGCUUAUGGAGCCACACUGGAUCCUUCUCCCGCAGCGUCCUUCCUUGCCCUCUUAGAGAGAAGCUUUUUUUGAGCCAUUUCCUGCAAAGACAUAUCCAUAAAAAGUUAGUUUGCAUGAAACGCACAACCAUUAUUUCAUUUAUCUUAAGCAAGCAAGAAGUCAACCAAUUUUGGGUGGUGUAUGUUUUUUCGCUAAUUGCAAGUGUUACGAUGCAAAUAACAAAACAAAUCACAUACCAGUGCGUAUUAUUAUUUUUUUAAAAAAACAUUCUACAGCUACUUAGAUGCAAUGUGCCCAUCAUAGUGUAGUCAGCUUAAUAAUUAGACUAAUUCCACCUAGUCAAUUCUACAUGUUUAUGUAAUUCAUGUAUUUUGCAUUUAAAGCAAAGUCUAGAUUUCCAAGCCUAACUUAUACUCUUGGCAUUUUAAUCUAUCAAUCUAAGUUGCUCAUGCAUUCUAAAUGAUGUCUGGACAUGCAUAAAGCUCAUUUCACGUUCAAAUUCCAAAACAACACAUGAAAUGGUCAUUGUGGCAUUUUAUCGAACGGUUGGUGGGCACAUGUUUAAGCAUGUAAAAAUGAGGAAUGGAGAACAACAUGACAUGCAAAUAUAUAAUAGGAUCAAGGAUAGGCCUAAGGCCAUCCAUUGCAGCCCCUAACCAAAGCAUUCAAGUCAUGGAUUCACAAACAAUUUAUCUUACAAACAUUGCAAAGAAAGUAACAAAUAAAGUACCAAAAUACCACAAGGAAAAGGUAAAAUUGAAUGGAGAUGGCACUUGUGUGAGAUGAAUGAAAAGCAAGAACAAUUGAGGCAAAAUGCACAAAAAGCUUGAAGUUUAGUGCAAAAAGGGUGGUUCCCGUGGGUCUUCAGGAGCUCUUGAAGAGUUUUGAAGAAAAUGGGGGAAGAUGGGGUGAAGUUGGCUUCACCCCUCCCCCUUUUAUGUUUUUUCAUCAGACCAUGCUCGCCUAGGCGAGCUGGCCACUCGCCCAGGCGAGCUAAAUUUAUUUAUUUAUUUAUUUAUUUUUUUGCAAAGCUUUGUUAUUCAUUGUUAUUAUAUAUAUUUUUCUCUUAAGCCCUAUAAUUACAUACAAAAUUAGGCGAAUUCAGGAUAUAAUUCAAGAAAACGAACAAGUAUGAAACAUGAAAUUAAAGAGCAAAGUUAGAGAUACUAGGCUGCCUCCUAGGAGCGCUUCUUUAACAUCUUUAGCCGGAUGCAGGAUGAUGAUCGAUUGAUCACGGGGCUAGCACCUGUUUGUAAUUGCCCCUAAGCUUGGACAAAGGAAGUGUCAUCAUGCCAAAAACAUGAAACAAUACUACAAGAUGCUUGUAUUACCUUUCACUUUCCCCUAGUGCUUACUCAAAACGGUGUGGUGUUGACCAUCACCCAAAAUGACUCUUCGUUCAUUUUCUGAUUUGCAGGGUCCUUUGAUGAUAAGAUGCAGAUGCAUGCAUGUUUAUGAUUGAAUGUUAAAUGUAAUAAUUAAACAGGUGUUAUCAUGUUCAAUUUUACUUAAACGCUUAUGGCACCCCCGUUGAACGAGCCGAAUGGCUCCGAAAUUAGUGAGUAAGAUCGAAAGUGUAUGUUCUUAAAGAUAAUCAAAAAGUAAAGGACACAACACUAGAGGUAGAGAUGCGAAUCAUUAAUCCAUAUUUAUUAAUGUUGCGAUUAUGGUUUACAAAAAAAUUUAAGACUUUGGAGAUUCAAGUGAGUCCUUGAGGAUGGCCAGAUGUUGAGCCUUUUUAUUGCCCCAGGCAUUAUGCGUAAUACCACUUGACGAUAUUGAAGUUCACAGGCGAAGGCAGCUCUUCGUCAUCCAUGUUUGUAAGCAACAAUGCUCCUCCCGAAAAAGCCUUCUUCACAACAAAUGACCCUUCGUAGUUUGGAGCCCAUUUCCCUCUGUGGUCUUUUUGAGCCUACGACACUUUCUUUAGAACAAGAUCCCCCUCGCUGAACUUGCACGGGCGCACCCUUUUGUCAAAAGCAUUAUUUACUCUGCUUUGAUAUAGUAGCCUAUGGCUCAUGGCAGCCAAUCUCUUACCCUCGAUAAGAUUCAAUUGAUCAAAGCGUGCUUGGGCCCAUUCUGAUUCUUCCAACCCCGACUCUGCUAGAAUUCUCAAAGAGGGAACCUCCACCUCAAACGAGAGCACAACCUCCAUCCCGUACACCAAAGAGAAAGGGGUUGCCUUAGUAGAUGUGUGCACAGAAGUUCGAUAACCAUGUAAUUCAAAGGGGAGCAUCUCGUGCCAAUCCUUGUAUGACACGGUCAUCUUCUGAACUAUCUUGAUAUUUUUAUUAGUAGCCUCAACUGCCCCAUUCAUCUUAGGCCUAUAAGGCGUGGAAUUAUGGUGUUGGAUUUUGAAAUCCUCACACAUUUCCUUCAUCAUCUUAUUGUUCAGAUUAGUGGCAUUAUCAGUGAUGAUUUUUCUGGGCAACCCAUAUCGGAAAAUUAUCUCCUUUUUGAUGAAUCUAAUCACCACAUUCCUAGUCACACUAGCGUAUGAAGUUGCUUUGACCUAUUUGGUGAAGUAGUCAAUGGCGACUAAGAUGAAGCGAUGUCCGUUUGAAGCCUUAGGCUUGAUGGCUUCGAUCACGUCUAUGCCCCACAUAGAGAAUGGCCAAGGUGCUGCCAAGAUGUUCAAAGGUAUGGGUGGAGCAUUAACAUUAUCAGUGAAGGCCUGGUAGUUAUGGCAUUUCCACACAUGGAUGCAACAAUCGUUCUCCAUAGUGAGCCAAUAAUACCCCGCUUUCAGAAUUUUUCGGGCCAUGGCAUGUCCAUUGGCAUGCGUUCCAAAGGAUCCCUCAUGCACCUCUAGCAGCAUUUGCCCAGCCUCUCUGGCAUCCACACAUCGAAGCAGUACCAUGUCAUGGUUCCUCUUGUAUAAGAUAUUCCCACUCAGGAAGAAACUGGCCGCCAACCUUCACAACGUCCUCUUGUCAUUGUCAGAGGCCUCAAGCGGGUAUUCCUUGUCUUCGAUGUAUCAUUUGAUAUCAAAGUACCAAGGCUUACCAUCCUUCUCUUCUUCUAUUAAACAGCAAUGUGUAGGCUUACCACGACAUCUAAAUUCGAUGUACGGAAAAUCUUCGAGCGAGCUUAGUUGAAACAUGGAUGCUACAGUGGCAAAGGCGUCAGUCAUCUGAUUUUCCUCUCUAGGAAUAUGAUGAAAAGAUAUGUCAUCAAAGAAUCCUAUUAACUUCCUGAUGUAAGCCUGGUAAGGCACUAAUUUAUGGUCCUUGGUCUCCCAUUCACCCUUCAACUAGUGAAUUACCAAUGUCGAGUCCCCGUAUACCUUGAGCAACUUGACCUUGAAGUCAAUCGCCGCUUGGAUCCCAAGGGCACACACCUCAUACUCAGCUAUGUUGUUUAUGCAUUCGAAACCCAACCUAGACAUGAAAGGUAUAUAUUGUUCGUCCGGGGAAACCAAUACUGCCCCAACUCCAUGGCCUAGUGCAUUAGAUGCAUCAUCAAACCACACGAUCCAUUUGUUCUUGUCUUCAUCCUUCACUUCCUCCUCAAACAAGGUCAUGAUGUCCUCAUCAGGGAAUUCUGGAUGCAUAGGCUGAUAGUCAUUGAUGGGCUAUUGAGCUAGGUAAUCUGCCAAGGCACUCCCUUUUAUCGUCUUCUGAGUGACAUAAACAACAUCAAACUUUGACAACAGAACCUACCAUCGAGCUAUCCAUCCAGUGAGAAUGGGGUUUUCAAAGGUGUACUUGACGGGAUCCAUUUUGGAUACCAACCAAGUAGUGUAAUUCAGCAUGUACUGCCUCAAACAGUGAGCUGCCCACACUAAAGCACAACAUGCCCUUUCUAGCAAAGAGUAGUUCAUUUCGCAUGCCGUGAACUUCUUGCUCAAGUAAUAGACAGCCUGUUCCCUUCUUUCGGACUCGUCAUGCUGCCCCAGCACACACCCAUUGACUCAUCUAACACAGUCAUGUAUAGGAUAAGGGGUCUUCCGGGCACCGUUGGCAUGAGCACACGAGGAUUCAUGAGACACCAUUUAAUCCGUUUGAAUGCCACUUGACAAUCAUCGUCCCAUUAGAUAGACUGGUUCUUACGUAAUAGCUUGAAAAGAGGCUCACAAGUGGCGGCCAGCUGUGAUAUGAACCUUGCUAUGUAGUUCAAUCUCCCUAGGAAACCUCUGACCUGGGUAUAGGACCCAAUAACUCACUAUGUGUGCAAAGGUGUAAGCGCCAUGUGUGCAUAGAACAAACAAAUAUUUCUAAAAUAUGCAUGUAAUAGGUAGACAACCACACCAAACACAAAAGAACAAGAAAAUAGUCAUAUGAACAUAAGAACAUAAAAGAAAAAAGGGGAAACAAGAUAAAGAAAGGUCACGAUAAAUAUUGCACACAAAUUAAAUGGCUUAACUCUCUAACAAAUGUCCCCAGUGGAGUCGCCAACUGUCGCAACCUACCAUUCGACGGGAGGGCGAGGCGAGAUAAAAGGUGCGUCUUCCCAAAAAGGAGAACGCACAGGAGUCGCCACCAACGUUUAUUUGAGGAAAACGUUAGAAAAACCAAAAAGGGGUCUGCGAAUUUCAAAGAUAAGGGUUCAUGAGUUCUUUACACAAGGGAAAGGUAUUAGCACCCCACGCGUCCGUCACAAAGGACGACAACCUUUAAUCGAGUGUGCAAGAAUGUGACUUCAAUAUUAUUUAUUUUCCUUUUUAUGUUUCUUAAUUUUUUGGGGUCGACAAAGGUGUUGCCCUUGCUCCUACGUAUCCUCAGGUGCAAUGAGGAAUUCAGACCUACAUAGUUCUUAAAAGCGAGAAAGUUGUAUGUUGAGUUGAUUUUAAACUUUUGAAAGGUUCUUUUUAACCAAAAAAAAUAAAAGAGACCGUUAAGGCGUUGGACCUUGAAUGAAUUCAAGCGACUUUUUAUGGAUAAAAAUUCAAUUAUGUGCUGAUUUCACCUUGGUUUUACUUAUUAACUUUCAAUCCCUUUAAAGAAUGAUUUGUGACGUAAAUGAUCGGUCAAAAUUCACUUUACAAAAAGAAAAGAUAUUACUGAUGGUAGAAGAAUGAGAUGAAGAUGUGCAAAGCAAUAAAGAGAACCCCAAAGGGUGCAUAGAUCGUAUCCAAAUCCUUAAAACAAAUACUAACCGGAUGACAAACGAAGAACACUGAACGAAGAAUGAUGUAGAAGUCGAUUAUGGUCACAAUUCGGUAGCACCUCGGCCUCUUUUUUCUCUUCUUUCUUCUCAUUCUCUUUGAUUUUCACUAAAAUAUCUCAAUGUUUGAAAGUUGAACCCUUUCUUCAGCCCCCCUCACGCCUAUUUAUAGGAAAUGAGGGGGUUUAGUGGAUUUGCAGCUCGCCCAGGCGAGUUGUUGCUUCAACCUGAAGUAACCAUGCUUGCCCAGGCAAGCUCAGCUUGCCCAGGCAAGCUGGUUACUUCACUCCUAAGCUAUUUGGGGGCCCAGGCGAGCCAGGGUUCAGAAAAAGGCUUAAAAUGACCCUUUUGUCGUCCCUUUUGGGUAUUUUCCACAUUCUUUACCAAAACGUUGAAUGAUCUUUCCUCUUGUGCGGCAACUGGUGUCGAACAACUCAAUUCGGCUAGCGAGAAUCAAAAUGUUAGCGAAUGAUAGUCCUCGAAUGAAAUUAGGAUCUGACACCCUAACAUAUUCUUCAUCAGAGUUGUGGGUGCAAGCAUCAUCCUCAUACAAGGGGUGAGAGGGGCUCUUAAAAGAAAUCCUUAUAUCUCUAUGAGUGGAAUCCCUUUGUUACAUUAAAGGGGAUUCUUUUGAUGAUCAAGCUCUACAAUUGUCACUGGUUGCUGGAUAGAGGAUUUAUCCUUUUGUGUAUCUGCCAAAGGAACAGAAGUUGAGUUUUUUUGGACAUUAAGGCUUUUAUAUGUAGCCUUUAGACUUGUAGAUGAAAUCACCUUGGAUGUUUUCUAUAAAGACAAAUAUCACAAGAAAAGGGGUUGAAUUGUAAAUUUUACUAAAUUUACGCUACUAGAAAAUAGGCUUUUAACAUUGAUUAUUAAGGACUUUCAAUAUUGGUUAUUAAUCGAUGUUUAAACUACCGAUGUUCAAAGUAUCAAAGUUAACAUCGGUUUUUGAAAACAGAUGUAUAAUAUGAAAUAACCAAAAAAUGUAAAAUAUGUAUAAACCAACAUUAAUUUUUAGAAAAGCCGAUGUUAUUUUUUGGUGAAUUGCAGGAAUUAGAAAAAUAAAAAAUAAACAACCACAACAAAACAAACAAAUAAAUAAAAAGCAACUAUUCAAAUAAGGGAAAGCUUUCAUAACAAAAAUCCAUACAUACAAAAUUAGAACCAAUUCAAUAUAUUCAACCUUUUAAACAUAAUUUCAAUCACCAAGUUCCAUGUCACAAAGUGUUGUAACAGGAUAUAAAAAGGGUCAGUGUCAAUGACAAUAUUAUCCAUACAUACAACAUCAGAACCAAAAUCAACCAAAAUGUUUCUCUCUUUCUAUUUCACGCAUAUUGACAUAUACAUGGUGCUCACCACCUAGCUCAACCAAAAUCCAAGUAAACUCAAAGUAAAAAAAUUAGAAAUGUAUAAAUAUGUUCAAAACGUAGUGAGAAAAAGAGAGAGAAAUUGUGAGAAAAAAAGAGAACGUACCAAUGAGAGAAAGAGAAAGGGAGUAAGGGACGCGAAAGCAAUUGCGCAACGCGAGAGUGGAAUGUGGCGAGCAUGCAACGAUGCAAUGAGCAACAUGGUCCUGGCACGAUGGGCACGCAGUGCCGCGAGGAGUUGAGUGAUAGUGAGAGAGCGAAAGUGAGAAUCACAGAGGAAGAACGAGAGUUGUAGCGCCACGAGAAGGAGAGUGAGAGAAUGCGAGAACGAUAUGAGUGAGCAAGACAAAAAAGGGUUUGGGCACCAGAACCCUUCUUCUAUAAAAAAACCCAACAACAUCGGUUUUUUUAAAAGACUGAUGUUAACAUUGUCACACUGACACCGGUUUUUGAAAAAACAAUGUUUGCAUUGUCACGUUAACAUCGGUUUUUUUAAAAAAAAUGAUGUUAAUAGGUUCAUGUUAUUUACAAAUAUGACACUUCAUUUUUGUAAACAUCGAUUUUACAAAAAACCAAUGUUAACAUAGCAAUGUUAAAACUAUUUUUUCUAGUAGUGUUAAAACCUUUUUCUAAAACCAAAAAGUUAUCAUUUGAUGAAGUGAGACUUAAGAAAAUUUUGUUAGGAUUUUAUUUCACGAUAGAUUCAACUAUAAGUCAAGUGUAACCCAAUCAUGAUGUAGUAACUGAACUAUCGUCCAAGUUGUCUACCAAAGGAAUAAAGAAGAGAUUUCAUGUAAUUAUUUAACUAAGAACUAGGUUUUUGUAUUUUAGUUUUGUGAUUGUCACAAAAUAAAUAACAUAAAAUAAAUUGCAAUAAAAAAUAAAUGACAAUAAAAUAAGUAAGUAAAGAUAGAAAUACUAGACUUUGAUGGUGACGUCCAUCUUGAUGAAUGAAUGUCUAGGUUUAUACUUGGAAUUUGCUCGAUCCACUGCAACUUCACAAUUCUCUACUUAUCUCUUUUGUUCAUCCCCAAUUCACUAAUGUAUUCUACUUAACUCCUACAUAAUCGUAGAUUCUAAACUACUUUCCCGAUACCUAAUCUUUUGACAUACCGACAUAAACAAUCAACAUUAACGGUCGAGAAUUAGCAAGGUUUUAACCAAGAUUAUUCUAUCCCUAGAAAUAAUCCUACUUAAGUAUUUGAUUCAUGUUCGGGUUUCAACAAGGCUCGCCAAAGUGCAAGUCAAUUCCUAAAUUCAUAUAUAGGAUGGCCAAUAAAAUAAAAGCAUUAAGUAUGUAAACAAAUAAAGAACUCAAGAUGAAGUAUUGAAUUGAUAGAAUUAAAGCGAAACAAGGUUCAUCUUUUCCUCCACUAGGUGGAAGGAAUUACACUCAUAAAAAUAAUACAAUGAAACAUAGAGUGUCCAAUGGUAUAAUGGAGGCGUCUAAAAGGUGGAAGUCUAAAAUAUAAUUCUAAGAACUGUUCGGGAUUUCUACACACUGUUACAAUGAAUGUCUAACCUCCGAUUUAUAGAAUUUGUAGUUAGGUUUAAUUAAGGAGAUAUUCACAAAAAAUUACAAACAAAUAAUUUCUCUAAUUAAUUUAAGUAAUUAUCUUCUUCUUUAGCUGAUUUAUCCUUGAAAAAUUUCUUGCUCUUGAUUUUCCUAGCUUUUAUCUUCAAUUUUUAUUUGCAAAAUUUUUUGCUAAUUUUGGGCCUCUAGACCUUUGGCACUUAAGCGGGAUAUUUUUGCUAAAAAACUAUUUAAAAAAUUCAUUACAAAUAACUAAAACAUAAAAUUCUACCUAAGAAAAAGUAAAAACUUAAUUUAAAGCUAAUUUGAUUCAAAACAAGACCUAAAGUUAACUAAAAUGCCAAAUAAGCAUCACCAAAUGCAUAAGAAAAUUCAGUAAAUUUGAUGUUUAUAAAAAGCAAACAAUAAAUUUUUGCAGGAUAGAUCAGACAAUAGUUUUAGAUCUUCGUAAAACAAACAAUUUUUUUCAAAAACAAAGAUUAAAUUCAAACCCUAGGUUAGUUCAAAUAACAAAAAAGAGAAUAAAAAAAAAGACAUAAAGGAUUUAUAUUGGCUCGUCUUAACCACCAAAACUACGUCUAGUUCUCGGCAAAUCACCAAGUUCCACUAACUUUAAUAAGUUACAAGUUAUUAUCACUAUCACUUCUUGAUCCUUAACUCGAGCUUUUAAACCAAAUUUGUUACAACUAGUAUUCUUUAAUCUACUAAGUCAUUGUUGGCUCUAACACAGAUAAGAAGAUUUGUUGAUUUGUUUGUACAAUUAAAAACACUUGAUAACUGCGAAAUCAGAGUUAAUUUGAUAGUCAAUUUGCACUAAUCAUAAUUGCAAUUUCUUCAGUUUACUACUAUUUUUAAUGAAAUAAUGAAGAAUUUAACAUCUUGGCAAUUUUUGAUAUGCAGAAGUCAAAAGAAGAAGAUUUCAAGUGCUUUAGAGGAAAAUUGAUGCAAAAACUAGAAGAAAAAACCUUGAAGAAAAGUUGGAAGAAUUCAACAUCUCGCUUAGUGUUCAAUCUAGGCUUAGCACGCACUUUCGCUUAGCAGGCAAGUUCAGGCUUAGCACGAAGAAGGCUCACGAAGAAGCUCAAAGGCACGCUUAGCGCAAAAAUCCACGCUAAGCGUGAAGUCAGUGUGAAAAGUAAGCUAUCUUGGGCCUAUAAAUGGAGUAAGAAGCAGAAGGAAAAGACACGCCAAGUCUCAGAACUAUCCAAAGCCUGAGUCUAUCCCUUAGGGGAAACCCCCAUUCUUUAGUUAUUCCUCCCUUUCUUUCUUUUAGUCAUCCAGCCUUUUCUUCCACUCCUAUUAGCCCCUGAAUUGUAAAGCCUCUUAUGGCCAUGAGAGGCUAAACCCCCAUCUGUUGGGAGCCUAGCAGCCAACACCUUUGUAAUGUAACUGCUUUUAUUAUCUAUUGAAUGGAAUUUCUAUUUCUAUUGCUUCUUUUAUGCUCUUCAUCUUUAUUGUAUGGUUUGAUCAUUCAUGCAUUAGUUUUAGGGAUUAUACAUUGGGAAAUGAUAAUUUCUAAAGAACUGGAAAGGGCAUCUAAACAAUUUAUUGCUAGGAAUAGAGUGACUUUGUUUUGUCACUGCAUACAUCUUCAUGCUUAAUCCGAUUUACUAUUCAAUCUUUGCAAAGGGAUUUGGGAAAGAUAAUAGAUAAAUUAGACUCUUCAUUAUGAGGGAUCAGGGUUUAGUGUCUUAGUAGAUGUAGGUGGAAAUUAGAAAAGCAUUUAAUAGAGAAAAAAAAUUAAUAUUGCAUCAAGGGUAAUUAGGCAUGCUAGGCCCCAACAUAUUUACAUUUUGAAGUUAUCUUUUGCAUUAAUCUUGUUUAUUUUAUUACUCUUGUCUUUUAAAUUCAAUUUCUUUCUUUCUUCCCAUCUUUAUCACAAUUCCUUAUCUAUUCUUUACAAAUUGAGUAUUCAUCAACGCAAGUACAAACAAAGUCUCUGUGGAUUCAACACUCAGUUUUUCGUUUUAAACUCUACUACUUGUACAAAUUUGUACACUUGCCAACGAGUUAAAAACAUUCUAUCGUCUUACAAACGAAUAAACAAUUUAACACUUAAUCUUUUCUCUCAAGAUGGACAAAGUGUUUUGAGAGAUUUUCUAAACUUUACAAGAAUUUACACAAAAAACUUUUAACACCAAAAAGGAAAUAUUGAGCGCUUCAAAAUCGUGCAUCAUGUCUUCAAAGCUUCUAGUAUAUAUAGGCCUUCUUCAAUCAAGUAUCCAUUGUCUCUAAAUAGAUAUAUUUCCUCUCUUAAGCUUGCAUUUGAUAAAUAUGGUUGUUGAGGCAUUAAAUGCACACACUUCUUCAUGCUAAGAAACCUUUCUUUGUCAUUGGCAUGUUGAACACUAUUGUAGGAAACCACUUCCUUUUUUGUCAAACUCAAUAUGUUGUAGAACUCUUCUUUUGAUGGCGAUUGAGUAAUUUCAGAGCUUGACUUCAUUUAUUCUUCAUAAGAUUCGAUAGAUCUUAGGAGAAUGCCUCUGUAAAAUAGAUCUCGGGCAUAGAAUAUUAAAUGAAGUCAAACCAUUUUUAAUAUUGUAUCAGAUCAUGAUUCUAUUUUGCUAUCGUCUGAAACAUCAAAUGUAGACUUUGCGACAUGUUCUGAUAGCGCAUAAGACACAAAUUUUAACCUUUGUAUUUGUUUACAUCUAAUCAAAAUAAUUGAGAGUCUUAAUUUGUCUUAAGACAUAAAUGUCUUUUGACUUAAUAUUUUUCCUCCAAGAUGAGAUUGUAACACUAUUAUUUUGCAUUGAGGAAGAGUGUGACCCAACGAUUUGAAGAAAUCACAAAAAUAGGGUAACUUCUCAUACUCAACCCUCACGAAAAAAGAAAAAUCAUCCCUCUCAACCAAGAUGCUCAAAUGUAGAGGUUUAGAAAGGUCUAUGUCAAUCAAGAUGUAGGCAUAAUGACCAAAUGACUUAUUCCUAGUGGUUGCGUCCAAGUUAGUAGGCAUACCAUUACUAGAAACAAUUCCACAUAGAAGCUUUAGGCUCCAAGAUUCUUGUGGCAAUUCAGAGAAUCUCACUCAUCAUUGAGCAUGGGUUUGCCUCACCUUUUUAGGGUAAAAUUAGGAAUCAACUGCACCGAACACAGAAGGCCAUGUUGAAAAUUCCACACACUUACUGUCCAAACACUACUACAAAUAUUGCCUUUUACAUCACCUGUGCUACGACGGUUAUUUAGAUAACCGAUUUAAAUAGUGACGCGGUGGCAUUUUUGCAAUUAUUUUGAAAAAAAUUACAUUUUACGACAUACAUUCUAAGGCGGUUAUUAAAAACCGCCUUAGAAUGUUAUAUUAUAUAAAAUUUACGCCGGGUUUUAGUGUAAAACCGUCGUAGUUGGGUUAAAAAAAAAAACAAAGCCCGUUAAAACCUAGGUAAUGACGCGGUGGCAUUCUAAGGCCUUCCCCUCUUCGUUACUGAACCCUAGCCCCUCUCCCUCCCUUUCCCUCAGAUUUCUCACUUCCUUUUCUCCUUUCCAUUUCUCACCUUCUCCCUCUCUCUUCAUCUCUUCUCUACCCCUUUUUUGGUUUUCCUUACUCUUACGAAUCAAAACCCGCAACUUUGGACGUCGUUGGAGGGCUUUCGUCGCUACCCACCAUAACUUACGAGGUAAGUACUCUAAAUUUCUCAUUUCAGGAAUUUGAAGCCUGUGCUUUGGCUAAGUUUUUUUUUUUUACCUUUACUCACAUUUUUUUACCUCUUCCUUUGUUGAUGUUGAUUGCGAUUGGGUUAAAAAUAUUGGGUGAGGUCUACAUCAUAGCUAUGUUGCUAGAUUUUUGUUGGUAUGAAAUUAAUUGAGCGAAACUAAUUGGAUGUAUAUUUGCUGAGUUUUUACAAUAAUCAAUCCAUGUUAACACCCGCUUUCCCAUUUUGAUAUUGCUCAUUUGAGAAAAUCAAAUGAUUUCAGAAAAAAAAUACUUUUCGUUAGGAAAAUCACAAACAAACAUUUAUUCUUUUGCUUUUUCUGAAUAUUGCUCCCAUAGCAGUGAUGACUCUUGUCAAACCGUGAGAGAAGAGAAGAUUUUCAUAAAAAGUCUCAUGUUGGUGACCUUCUUUCCCCUCAUUCUUCUUUUCUCUCUUCUUCUACACUGUUUCAGGGGUGACCACUGGUAGCAAGGUGUAUUAGGUCCAAUUCAUAGUACCUGAAAGCACACUUUACUCAAAGUGGGAGGAGGUGUUAGUAGGAAACAACACGUCUGGAUCCACAGGUUUGCCAUAUUUACGCUCCUUACAAAAAUUAUACAGUUAUAAGCAUUAUGAUAUAGAAUUUAGGUGGGAAAGAGAAAGACAGAAAGAAAGAGGGGAAGAGAGAAGGAAACAGAAUAGAGAGGAUGGUUAAUAGUUUGGUUCAAGAGUUAAAACUGAACUGAACUCAACUGAAUUAAAACAUGGUUAUUAAGAACCAAAGUGAACCAUUUAUUUUUCAUUCUGAACAGAACUGAACUAUUGCAAGUUCAGUGAAUUGGUUCUUUAUUAAAAAAACUGAACAGAACUGAUACAUGUUUAAGAAUUUUUUAUUUUUUUUGCUAAACUGAUCUCUGCUGCAAAUUUUCUGUUGACGGCAUUGCUGAAGGUUCCUGCAACACAUUCCAAUUUGGGUUCUGCAACUAUUUUCUGUUAUUUUGUCAUCUCCCAUCUUGGCUUUAAAUUAUUUGCAUCAAACCCCACCAUAAAUUAUUAUUCAAGUAUCAAUUUCGGUUAUUUAAUGUUUAAGUCUAAGUAAUAAAUUGCCAAGAGCUUCUAUGAUGAAAUUUAUGAAAGAUUCACAGAUCUUAUUAAGAGCCACCAUAAAUUAUAUAGUGUUGUUGGUAACAGGCACUGCUUAAUUGAAAGCUAAGCUUCUAUUAUUAACAGUUUAGUUCUAGUGCACUGAACUAUGUUUAAUAGCAGUUUGAUUAAUAAAACUUAAAACAGUUUAGGUUUAGUUUUUUAUAAAAUAAUUCAGUUUUUAAUAGUUUAAUUCAUUUUGGUAUUAAAGUAGUUCACAGAUCAAAAUAAUUUUUUGGACACCCCUAAAUACUUUCCAUUUGAUAAUGGCAUAAUAUAUGGGAGAAUUUACAUAACUCAUGAAUGAUACUUACUAGGCCUACUGCAAUGUCAAGGUGAUACUUGCGUCCUGUAGUGUGCACUGCUCCACCACGACUAGAAGUCCGGUUAAUUUUAUUUUGAGCAGACUGAUCCUUGAACUUCUUAUCAGUCACCCAAUAUAUUAAAAGAUCAACCCACGCCUGUUCACCUAUCCAAUGAGGUCUCUUCCUCUUAUCCCUAGCUUUGGUGAGCAUAUCAGAAAGGCGUUUUUUAACUUUUGUUUCAUACACUUUUUUAAUUUGCCACUCAUCCUGAGCUGUCCAAGUAACUCUUGUCUGCAAAAGUAAAGAAAAUGUUUGUCAAUUACAUCACAAGAUAAAAGCAAAUAUAUAAAUAAAUACAUAAGAAGUAACAUAUAUAGUCACCUUAAACUCCGUCCACCAUCUGACCUGCACAUCCUCAGGGACAGCCUCAUAAUGAUGGUAGGGGCCCUCAAAAUGUGACCUAAUUGCAAGGCCAAGUGCCUUAACAGCAUGACGAUUAGGGGUCCAACUGUAAAACAUUCAAGUUCUGAACACCACCAAACCUAAUAAUAAUGUUCCCAUUCUUUUAAAUUUAAUAAUAACAUAUAAAAAUGUAUAUAUGUACUAGUAAUAUCCGUGUGUGGUAAGGAUGGAUAAUCAUCUUAAUAAAGUAAAGACCACAAUAUAUAUACUUGUACUGCUAAAACACUUUGUUUAACAGCUAAGCAUGUGUGCGCACUUAAACGAAAUUUUAAAAAACUAAAGGGCGAAAAAUUGGAUCAUAUGUGAUUUCUUGUGUUUAACAUUUUCUUCUUUUGUAGAUGUGUAAUUUGUUCUUUUUUGGGUGUCUUUUCAACAUAGAUUAGGAUCAACGUUUUGCUAUUGUUCGGGGACACUUGAGAGUAUUUAAAUUGAACCAUUAUUCUUUCGGACCUAAUUGUUUAAUACGAUACAAAUGUGAUGUGGCGUGUCUUCUAGAAAUCCAUUUCUUAAUGAGAUCAAACUUUGACACUCGCCCAAUUAACUUUGCACUUUCAUAAAAUUUAAAAGUUAUGAUAUUAUUUUUCAGAUCAAUCAGGCUUUUAGAAGAUUGUGAAUUCAUCAUCAGCUCAGUUCUAACGUGACUGGUAAGUCAAUUCACAGAAAAACCCACUUAGCAUGAAGCUUAAUUGAGCCAAUAAUAGUUAACUUGCUUUUAGAUUAUUAAUGGGUGAGAGUAGAUGUGAUUCAAAUUGUUAAUUGUAUGAUAUAUGAUAUAUGAUAUGAUUGUAUCUAAAUAGACGAAGUUCUUGUUGCUUAAAUAAUUUGGCCAGAGAUUUUUUUUCUUUUAAAGAGAAUAACAAGAUUUUAUUAGAAAGGGCUAGUAGGGAAGUUGAUCUUAAGCCGUGUAAAGGAAACAAGAAUGCUAAAAAACCAAACCAUAAAAGGUCAAAUUGUACAAUGUCAUAGACCUUUAUCCUGUUUCAUCUUCCCAUAAUAUUUGGAAUGGUAUAGAAUAUAAAAGUUUUUCUAACUAGCGGGACAAAUCCAACUUUCUCAGAAGAUGGACAGAGUCUAUACCAUGGAUUUUAAAUCACUGAACAGUGUAGGAAUGAAUGACUGCUAGUCUCUGAGUAGGGAAAAGAAAAAACAAGAAAGUAGACAGAACCUUUGUGUGAGUCAUGACUUGGUUUGUACAUGUGCUACAAAUCAUAUGUGAUUAGUUAUGUCAAGUGUUGUCCAAACUCUAAAUGAUGACUUGACCUUUGUGUGAGUGAUGUAUAAUGGAUAAGCAAAGGUGUCUGGCAAUUAGAAACAUGCCUCUUUCUAGAGAUUCAAUAAGAAUUUUGAAGAAUAAUUUACGUGAAUUGACACUACAAUAAUACAAAUAGUAGCAUGUCUAUGAUCUCAAGGUAUGGGUUCUUUGCCAACAACAGCUAUUCCUUUUAAUCAAACUUGUCUGCUUUUAUGUGUGAUGUUUGGUCUUCAUUCUUUUAUGCUUAAUAGGAACCAACUUUAUUAUUUGAGACAUGCAUUUAUCAAACUUUUGUAGUAUAUAGAAAAUCUAUUAUGUUAUUAGCUUUACACACUUUCUUUCCAGUUAUAUAAUUAUCAAGUUCAUAAAAAUGUUAAGGAAUUAUUUUAAAAAUAUUUUGAGUCUUUAUUUUGCAUUGGCUAAUGUAAUUAUCCCACAGGAAAAGGGCCGGCCACUUCCAAAAUUUGGUGAAUAGGAUGUCAAUCAUCCAACCUCAGCUGAGGGUUUCACAGUGAUUUUUAAUAAGGCCAGGGAUGAGAAAAAGACAGGUGGCAACCCAGAUUCACCAGGAAAGACUGCCACUGAUCCUCAUAGCAAACCUGUAGUAGAGCCUGACAAAACUCAAACUGUAAGAUGUUCUUGAUGAAUUCUCUCUCUACUUACCUGACAAACACACCACUGUUUUUAUUUUUAAUCUGAAUACAACAUAUUUUGGUCCAUCUGAACAGGAAUUUUAACCAUGCAAAAAUGCUGAUUGUGUUGUGACAUGUGUGUCACGUCAUGUAUGCCUGUGUUCUUUGCAUGAGUUGAGAAACUAUUGGAUGUGACAUUUUCAGUAACUUGAGAAAAUAUGGUAGAACAAGAAUACUAGCUUUGGCCUACUAAAUUCAAGAUGUAUUAAAACUCUAAUUUAUAGUUUGUAAAUUAUAACCUUUGCUGAGUUUUCUUCCCCCUCUUUGUUAACAAUACAAAGCCUUGGCAUACUAAAUCCAUGAUGUAUUGAAACCAUGAUUUAUAGUUUGUAAAUUAUAAACUCCUCUGGGUUUUGUUCCCCCUCCUCAUUUUGGUAUCAAUCUCUGCCGACCUACUAAAUUCAUUCACAGUAUUCACUCUUGGUUGAAAUAUAUUUUUUCCUUAUUAAGCUGUGAUUAAGAUCUUGUUAAAAGCAUUAAAAUGUCCAAAACAAAAAAGGAAAAGAUGGCCUUAAUUCAAUAUAUCUUGAAGCAACAAGGCAUGAAAACAAUAGAAACAUUGGUUCAUCCUUCAUACAUAAAAGAUAAAAUAUAUAAUAAAAAAUAAUUUAAAAUAUCAAAUAUUUUAUUCAUAUGUCAUUAUAUAACUAAUAAUAAAAUAUUUACAUGUCUUAACUAAAAUAAUUAGUAUAAAUAUUUUUAAUUAGAUAUAUUUUUCAACAAUAAAUAUAAGUUAUACAAUGAUUUUAUACAUAUGUGAACUUUACUUAAAAAAUGCUAUUUUCUAAUUGCUCUUGUCUUUAGUCAACUAGGCCUCUACCCUUUAGAAUCAACCCAUUGUUUCCGUUGAUCUAAAAGCUAGCCAGCUAGGCAGCCAAAAAUGGAGCAAUCAUAAAUAAUGGAAAACAAAUGAACAAAAGAUAUAAUAAUUUUCAAAGACAAUAACAACACAAAUGAGCCUCAUGUCACUCAUGAAUGCCCUUACGUACAGGGAAUUUAAUUACUUGACUUUUGUACAUAAUUGACAUUGUUAUACACCUACAAAAUCGGGCCUUGGUUAAUGGAUGUUGUACUGAUUGAAGUAAUAUUUUUGUGUAAUUCAAGCUCUAAUUCAAUGUAAUUAAAUUAGUGGGCACAUAGAAACUCUGGAAUGGUAUUAUUAUCAUGUGAAAGAAGCUUGUUGCCCUCAACAUGUUAAAGAAUACAUGAGUAUGCUUUUCCCUGUUCUGGUCAAGUUAAGAUGUUAGGCAAAACUUAAUUUGUUUCCAUUUGACUAAAUAUUUAAAUUAUCCUUAUUUCACUUAAAAUAAACCUCUUUACUGGUUGUACUAUUUUAUAAACCUCAAACAUGAUGCAUUGUUAUUUGAGUAUGAUUGAUCCAGCUGAUAGUUUCCCCCAUUGAUGGUACAGAUUAUAUGUCGUCAUUACAACAUUUGUGUUAGUGUUUUCCCUGUAACUGCAUCCCCGCACUCGUUGUCAUUGACACUGAGCAUCUUUCGAGGUAUGUCUCUAUUUUUAAAAAGUGGUAUGAUUGUAACAUGUCGUUGUUCAAAUAUCGAUAUUGUUUCAUGUUACUAGUUAGUUGCAUUAUGAGUGAACCUUAGUUCCCCGUUCGAGAUUCGAUACAUCGAUUAAUACGGAUAGUUUGAAUUAAUCGAUGUAUUGAUUCUUGAAUUGUCCGUUUGGACAGUUUGGGAUGACAUAUUUUUAUAGUUGAAUCAUACGUAGAGGUAAAUUAUCUUUUGAAUGAUUUGAAUAAAUUUUGGUAUACUGCAUUUGACAUUGUUCUUCGGGUGCAUAUUUGAUCGCGGUGAUUGUUCACACAUUCAUCGCUUUCAUCUUGUGUACUUGAAGACCAAUGCGAAAUGCUGCCGAAAUUUCAUCAAAUCACUCGAAAGAGAUUUUACUUGUACGUUUGAUUCAACUAUAAAAAAUGUCUUCCUGAAUGGGGUAGGGCCACACCUUCAAUGCAAAAAAGUGAGUUUAGCAUGCAUCACAGAUAACUUAUUCAUUGUCAUGAAUAGCAAAUACGAAACAUGGAUCGAAGUUGGAUGAAAGCAAAACGCAUCAGUGAUGAGUAUAAGAACGGGGUGGAACAAUUUCUACUGUUUACGCAACUUAAUGCUGAAAGUUUGAGGGGCAAUUAUUUUUGCCCAUGUGUUAAAUGUCUUAAUGGUAGACGACAGUCAGUUGAUGAAAUCCGAUCACAUCUGAUAUGUUACGGCAUCAUUCCAAAUUACACAAAAUGGAUAUGGCAUGGGGAAUCGGCCGACAUUCCAACUGUUUCUCAGUCUCAGGCGGUUCACGAAGACAGCGGAGAGCGUAUAGAGGAAAUGAUCCGUGAUCUUGGACAAGAGACUUUUGAGCAAGCGCAUGCACCUCUGUAUGAUACAAUAGAACGUGAUUCCAACACGCCAUUGUAUCAGGGGUGCACAUCUUUCACGCGGUUGUCAGCUGUGUUAGCUUUGGUAAACUUGAAGGCAAGAUUUGGGUGGAGUGAUAAAAGCUUCACUGAAUUGCUGGUCUUAUUGAAGAACAUGCUUCCUGAACAAAACACUUUGCCGAAAAAUCACUACGAGGCCAAAAAGAUUUUGUGUCCAGUGGGAAUGGAGUACAAGAAGAUCCAUGCAUGCCCUAAUGAUUGCAUAUUGUAUAGAAAUGAGUAUGCUGAACUACGGCAAUGCCCCACGUGUGGGGUAUCACGAUACAAAGUGCAACACGAUGAAUUAACUGAUGAUGCAGGAACCAAAAAUUGUCGUCCUGCCAAGGUGUGCUGGUAUCUUCCAAUAAUACCAAGGUUUAAGCGAUUGUUUGCUAAUGCACAUGAUGCAAAAAACCUUUCAUGGCAUUCGGAUGACCGAAAAUCUGAUGGAUUACUGCGACAUCCUGCCGAUUCGCCACAGUGGAAGACAAUUGAUCGUUUGUAUCCAGAGUUUGGGGAUGAGCCAAGGAACCUAAGGCUUGCUCUUGCUUCUGAUGGAAUGAAUCCUUAUGGUAGCUUAAGUAGCAACCACAGUUCCUGGCCUGUUUUACUGAUGAUUUACAACCUUCCCCCAUGGUUGUGCAUUUUGCGUAAAUACAUUAUCCUGUGUAUGAUGAUCGCGGGUCCAAGGCAGCCAGGGAAUGAUAUUGAUGUGUAUCUUACACCAUUAAUCGAAGACUUGAAACAAUUGUGGGAAGAAGGGGUAGAUGUGUGGGAUGCAAAUGUGCAGCAGACGUUCAGGUUACGCACAAUGGUGUUUUGUACUAUUAAUGAUUUUCCAGCAUAUGGAAAUUUAAGUGGAUACAGUGUGAAAGGGCAUCAUGCAUGUCCUAUCUGUGAGAAAAACACAAGCUUCAUCCAACUCAAGCAUGGAAAGAAGACAGUAUAUACCAGACACCGAAGAUUUCUAAAAGCUUUUCACCCUUAUCGACGAUUGAAAAAAGCUUUUAAUGGAAGUCAGGAGAAUGAAGGCCCCCCAGAAGCAUUAACUGGAAACCAAGUUCAUGAUCGUGUAAAGGACAUUGUAACCGUGUUUGGCAAGUCCCAGAAGAAGACAUCAUCUCCCAACAACAUGUGGAAGAAACGCUCAAUAUUCUUUGAUCUUCCAUACUGGUCUGAUCUAUAUGUGCGUCAUUGUCUAGAUGUUAUGCAUGUGGAGAAAAAUGUAUGUGAUAGUUUAAUUGGUACUCUUCUUAACAUUAAAGGGAAGACAAAGGAUGGUUUGAAAUGUCGUCAAGACUUGGUUGACAUGGGAAUACGAGAGCAGUUGCAUCCCAUAUCACAAGGUCGACGAACAUAUUUACCCCCAGCAUGCCACACACUGUCAACAGCAGAGAAGAAAAGCUUUUGUCAAUGUCUGCGGAAUGUCAAAGUUCCACAAGGAUACUCUUCAAAUAUCAAGAGCCUUGUCGCCCUCAAUGAUCUUAAGUUGGUUGGCUUGAAGUCUCAUGAUUGCCAUGUCUUAAUGCAACAAUUAUUGCCUGUUGCGAUUCGCGGCAUCUUGCCUGACAAAGUUAGAGUUGCCAUAACCCGUUUGUGCUUUCUUUUUAAUGCCAUAUGUAGUAAAGUCAUUAAUCCUCAUCAAUUGGAUGACUUGGAGAAUGAGGCUGCCAUUGUCAUUUGUCAGUUAGAGAUGUAUUUCCCACCAUCAUUUUUUGACAUCAUGGUUCACCUCAUUGUUCAUCUUGUGAGGGAAAUUCGGUUGUGUGGUCCGGUUUUUUUGCGGUGGAUGUAUCCAAUUGAACGCUACAUGAAAGUGUUGAAGGGAUAUACCAAAAAUCAAUACCGACCAGAAGCUUCCAUUGUAGAAAGGUAUGUUGCUGAAGAAGCUAUUGAGUUUUGUUCACAAUACAUGGAAACAGUUGAAGCUGUGGGGGUACCGAAAAUUCGUCAUGACCGGACACGAGGAGGUCAAGGGACACGAGGCUUCAAUGUUGUUACCAUGAGUCGACAAGAUGUGUCACAGGCGCAUUUGUAUAUCUUGAAUAACACACAGGAGGUCGUUCCAUACAUACAAACUCACAAACAAUAUCUGACAUCUAUUAACCCAAAAUUGAACAUGAUGAAAUUGUUACAAGAGCAUAAUAGAACUUUCAUGAACUGGUUUAAAGAAACAAUAAUGACUGAUGACAAUGCUUCCAAAACAUUAAGAUUGUUGGCUAUUGGUCCGAAUCUAAAUGUCCCUACUUGGCAGGGGUAUGACAUAAACAAUUAUUCGUUCUAUACAAAGUCACAAGAUGAUAAAAGUAGUGUGCAGAAUAGUGGGGUGCUUGUGGAGGCUCAUUCUGAGCACUUUUCUAGAGCAUCUGAUAACAACCCAAUUGAAGCCUCAAUGCCUUAUUUCGGAGUUAUUGAACAAAUCUGGGAGCUUGAUUAUAAUCAAUUUAGAGUGCCAGUAUUUAAAUGUAACUGGGUUAAUGGAAAUACCGGUGUUCAUAGAGAUGAAAUGGGAUUCACUUUAGUAGACCUUAACAAGGUAGGUUACAAGGAGGAACCAUUCAUAAUGGCAGAACAAGCUAGACAAGUGUUUUACAUCCAAGAUCCAAAUAAUCGUACAUUAUCAGUGGUUCUACAAGGAAGGCCAAUUGGUGUUAGGGAACAAAUUCAUGAUGCAUCCCUUGACAUUUGUGAGACUCCUCAUUUUUGCACAAAAAUGCCUUCAAUAUGUGAACAAGCAGAGGUGGAUGACGUACAUGCGAUUCGUAAUGAUCAUGCUGAAGGUUUAUGGGAGAACAUUGCUCCUUAACCGCCUUGUAUCAAUGUAAUGUUACAAUAUUAUUUUAUUUGUUAUUGACUUAUAUGUAACGUUCAUAUUUAUUUUGUGCCGCAUACAUGCUAUUUUUAAUCCUACCAAAUUAAUCUAAAUUUGUUUCAUUUGGACAGCGUCAUGGUGACACCGCCAAGGUCCCCUCCGCAGUCAGAUGGUAAUUCGGAGCCACAACCUAAGAAGACACGACAAAGCACACGUCUUAGAAGGUUGACUUUAAGAAGUUUAGAUCAGCCUAGACCAAUAGUUAAUGUGGAUCCUGCAACUGGAAGAGCAUCAGGCCCAGAGAAGCAAAAGUUCCACAGUUUUUUAGGGGUUGUAGCUCGAGAAAAGAUCUCCAUUGUCCACAGCAAUUGGAAAAAUGUGCCAGAAACUCUUAAGGACAUGGUAUGGGGGGACAUUUUGGUAAGUCACAUUAACAAUUUGAUGUAUUCAAACAUUGAGUUUAUUUUCAAAAAAAUGUUUACAUGCACUAAAAUUGACAUGAUGAAUAUGUAAUGCAGGCUAAAUUUGAUAUCCCAGAAGCUGAAAAGGCCAAGAAAAAAGUAAUGUCCACGGUGGGCACUAGAUGGAGGCAAUUUAAGUCUUCGCUAACCACUAAAUUUGUCUAUGCUGACACACAAGCCGGACAGGAAGAAAAUCCUUCAGCAAAAUAUGGUAUGGAUAAACAAACUUGGGACGAAUUUGUUGCAAGUCGCAAGACCCCGGAUUGGCAGGUAACAUGUUUGUUCAAUUUAGUUUAAAUUUCUUUAGAAAUGUACAUUUUUAACAAUUAAAUAAAUGCAAAUAAUAUAUUGUCAAUGACAGGAAAUUCGGAAAAAGGCAAAGGAGAGUCAAAAAUACAAUGACUGCCCCCACGUACUGUCUCGUGGGGGUUAUGACUUGCUUGAGAAAAAAAUGUUAGAUGAGAAAACAAAGCAAAGACAACAGCAGGCACUUUUGACUGAGAAUCCAUUGUCUGAUCUGGAGGAGCCGCCAUCUCCCAUUAAAAGGCACGUGAAGUGGAAAAUGGCUAGAACCAAACGAUAUGGCCAGAUGACAUCAAAGGCAGCAAAAGAAAUUUCAGAUAGAAUUGUGAGUUGCAGCAUGAUUAUAAUCAAUUUGGAACUAAUUUUUGUUUGCUUUAUAAUUACUACCUCAUUAACUCUUUCAAUAUGUUGUGCUUGUUUUAGGACUCGUUAGAAGAGCAGACGACACAGGGUAGUUUUGUUCCCCAUGGUCGGGAUGACAUCUUGAAUACGGCCAUUGGCAAACCGGAACAUCCAGGUCGAGUUCGUGCAGCGGGAUCUGGUAUGACCCUUACUCAAUUUUAUGGUAGGGCAACACGUACGUCGAGUAGUUCCUCAGCAACACUAAUGCAACAACAGUGGGCUGACAUUAUUGGAAACAUAAAGGAACAAGUAAGGAAUGAAUAUGAAGAACAACACAAGAGGAGUCUGGAGGAAUUUAAGAAGGAGUUGUCCAGUCAGAUCUUCAUUCAAUUGAGUCAGAUGGGAUCACAAUACUCUCCCCUUAUUGAGGUGGAUUUACAGGCAUUGGCUGCACGUCUUAGCACUAAAGGAAGUAAUGUAGAAACUGCUGAUGUUGACCCAUCAGGCGACAAAAAUGUGAGCUUAAAACCCACUAUGGGGUUAUACGUGCAACGACAAAAUACUACAGUGUUGGUGGCCUUGGGGAAAAUAUGUGAGGGUGGAUCAGCCAUUCACAAUGUCACUUAUGCUGAUGAUGUUGUGAGGGUGAGUGUUGACAAAGUUAUAGAAGGUGAUGCCGAAGUGCCCUUCCCGACAUCAGAGAUUCAAUAUGUCAAGCAGGCUCUUCAAACAUUCAUUGCAUGGCCAACAAAUCUUGUGAAAAAAGUGUCACAUGAGGUAAAUUUGGUGUAAUUAUAUUUGCUGCAUGACAUGUUUACAUGAAUAUAUGUUAGUUUAUGAAAUUAUGUAAAUUGUUGUUUUCAUUACACAAUUAGGAGUCCGAUACUAGUCCAAAGAAACUUCCUGAAACAGAUGAAAGAGGGACGAAUGAUUUUGACCAUGAUCCGUUGCGUCAACUGAUUAAGAGCCUAUAUUUCAUGUACGACACACCUGUUGAGUUGAAGUGGGAUGGCAGCAAAUUUGGGCUUUCAAAUGUUGAUGCUUCAUUCUUCUUGACAUUCUCUGAUGUAAAUGAAAUAGUAGCUGGAUACAAAUGUUUGAACAUAUCUAUACUACAGUUAUGGAUGUUGUAAGUAAAUUUAAUAUGAUUCAUUGAUAAGUAGUAUUUUGUAUGCUAUGCAUCAGUAUCAAUUUUUAUGUAUAAUUUAUCAAAGCAGGUUUUUGGAUGAGUGGAGCUCUACUUUGGGUCAUGCUUCCGUGUAUGGAUUCCUUGAGCCACAAUCGAUACACAAUGCAAAGGAUCGACGUGCUGAAUGUGAGCAUUACUUACAAGCAUGGCUCAAGGAAUCGCAACGAGAGGUGUACCUAGGAGCUUACUUAAAUCAGUAAGUACUAUUAAUUCAAAUGGUUAUAAAUAAUGUUGAAGUUCUACGUACCUAAUACUUGUUUCUUGUAGGGGCCAUUGGCAACUGGUAGUACUGUGUCCUGCGACCAAUGUUGUUGCAUGGUUUUGUUCGUUACGUAAGAAGCCUGAUACUCAUAUCAAAACUGCAAUUAACAAGUAAAGUUUUGUAUUGUCCCUCAUAUCAUGCAGUGUAAUAUUUUGUGUCAACCAUUUGUUAUCGUCGUAUAGAUGUUGAUCAUGCUAUUAUUAUAAGCAGUGCAAUGAAGUCAGCAAACACAACCGCGGAUGGUACAAAUAAUCCAGCAACUCCUAAGUGGGUUGAAGUCAAGGUUAGUGAUGCAAUUAAUCAUUAUUUUCCAGUAUUGAUCUUCAAAUGAUAACCUCAAUACAAUUGUUAGAUCGAAUUAUUAUUUAUAUUGAAUGUAGAGCCAUGUACAAAGCGGAGGGUAUGAGUGUGGCUACUACGUGAUGCAUUGGAUGUGGAACAUCGUCGGUGGGGGUUUAAAGAAUGAUUGGAGCAUGGUAUGUUCGGUUUAACAUCUUCAAAUUACUAUUUUAGUAGUAUUUUCAUUCAUUUUACAUCUUCAUUAAAUACACCCUUUGUAUUCUUCAUAUUUUGUAGUGGUUUCUUGAUGGAACGGCGUUAGACAACGAAACAAUUACAACGAUUCGCCAGAAAUGGGCAGCAUAUUUUCUUAAAGUUCAAAGCAUUCAAUGUACAAAGUCUUAGUUGACAUAGGAAAUCUUUUGGUUAUUGUGAACAUUACUGAGACAAAUGUCACUAUAUUGGCUUGUAUUUAUUUGGAAAUAUAUUUAUGAAACUUUGUGUUUUGUUGUCUCUACCGCUUACAUUUUUGCUAUACCGCUUAUUCUUUUUUUUAAUAAGACAGCAGACAUAAAAUUCACAAACUUCUAACUGUUGUACAUACUUAUUCUUUUAUAACUAUAAAGAAGCAAUGCUUCUUAUUGGCAAUGAGAUUUCUUUGCCUCUAUCAGAUUUAGAGUGAAUGAUGGGGAGGACAACUACACAACUCUUCCAAGAAUAGACCCUUCUGUGAGCCAAAGGAUCCCGACACAACAUGGUAAUUUUACAUUUUUUAUUUAUUUGUGAAUGAGUUUAAUUUUUCCUUGUUGAGGCUUUUGCUUUGUAGGCAGAAUAGCUGGCCCUAGGCAAAUCAUAUGAUACAUCAACUCCAGUGUCUAGAAAUGCAACCAUAUAUUGCAGCACUGAAAUUUUGUCACUUGACUGGGAAUGUAAAUCAGACCGCUUGGUAUGUGAAUUGAUUUAUCAUGGUGAUUGAGUUUAUUCAGUUGUAAUGAUUAUGAGAUGAGAUUAUGAAUUAAAUUAUUAAGUUGUUCCUCUUGAUAAAAAGCUUCUUAUAGGUACAUCCGAUGGGUGCAUUAAGGCAUGGAAUGUGGAUGCAAAGAGAGUUGUCUGUGACCUCAACACAACCGAAGCAUUUCCAAGGUAUUUCCUAAUUAUAUAUUGGCCUAAUAUUCGCAGAAACAUAUUUAAACCUUGUAUAUUUUCCAGGUUUCUGUGUAUUGCCUUUUUAACUCUCCUACUUGUGGUUUUACAGUGUAUUGGACAUAAAGUGCAGUCCUGUGGAACCUAUUUUUGUGUCUGCAGCAGCAUCUGGAGGGUAUUUGUUAAAUUUCUAAAUAUUGAAUUCUUUGUUGAACUAGUAAUUUAAUUUAUUGAUUUGAUCCUCUGUUGUAACUUUUAAUAAAAUGUUAGUCUUAUUAUGAUAUGUAUGUUUUGCUGUUUUGAUUUCGGACAUAAGGAUGAACUAUGGAAUAUGAGGACCUUACUUUCUUUGUAGGGCUGGUUCUAACUAUAUUGACAACCUGGGUUUUGCUUCACUUACUGUGUGGAACAUGAAGACAUGGAAAGCCAUGGUAUGUUCUUCUUUGUAUAAAAUGUUUUAUGUUUAUGUUGUUUAUGGCUAUUUUUAAUUUUGGAUUUCAUAAAGACAGUCCUUCCUCUUGGAGAAGAUCCACCAGCAAUUACUUCUCUAUGCUUUAAUCACAAUGGAAAGAUUUUGGCAGCUUCUGUCGUUGAUGGAAUGAUUCACAUGUUUGGUAUCCUUAAUUUUGUUCAUUUGAUUGUUUCCUUGGUUUGAUAUACUUAGUGAUUAAUAUGUGAAGUAAAAUAUAAUGUAAUUUUGUUGCUGUUAAACAUAUUUCCAAUAUAAUUUGAUUUGAUUGUCAUAUUUCCAUAUUUCUAUUGUUAUUUGAUUUCUUUCUAAUUUCUCUUAAUUCUUUAGUUUCUAAUUAUUUAUCAAUAAUAUCCAUCACACUUAAAUCCCCACAAUUUCAACAAUUGGUUGCAUUUAUUAAGUUAUAUCUUCCCUUGCUGGAGUUGCCAAUUUGCUGGGAUUUCUUGUUCAGUGAAAUAAAAUGGUGCAUUUCUUUUAAAGAUAAAUGUAUUUAGAAUGUUCUAGCAGUGGCCACAUGAUUUGACAAUCAUGUCAUCCUUAACUAGUCGAAGACAUGUCUGCUGGUCUACAAAUCACUGGCUGGCCUGCACAUGAUUCUUCCAUCAGUUCAAUUCUGUUUGGACCAGAUGAGACUAGCAUUUUUAGCCUGGGCUCUGAUGGGAAGGCAAGUAUUAUAAAUUUAAUGUUAUUCCAGCUUGUGAAAUGGGUUGUACAUUUAUAUUAAUUUAUUCUUUGUUGUCAGAUUUUUGAGUGGAGUUUGCAAAAUCAAGGUCAAAUCCUGUGGUCGAGAGACUCUAGUAGGUAUAUUUCUAGUUUGACACCUUACACUUAGAUGUACACUGUUUCUUUUUUCUUUUGUGCGGCUCAAAAUAGUUUUUAUUAGCCAAAUGCAGGAAAAUUUGAUGCAUGAAAUAGAGGAUUGUCAUAUCAGACUCAAGAAGUAAACAGACUUCAUUAUUUAUGAAUAAAUUAUAGAAAUAAUCUGGUUUUUUUAGGCAGUAAACGGAGCUUUAUCUGUUGUUUGAGCAGUUCUGUGACUACUUCCAUGCAACAUCAAGGAAUUCAAUGUAUAUGAAUUUCAUAUCUUCUCAUUCGAAUAAUAUCCACGCACUGGAACAGCUCCGGAGCAUUAAAGAUAAGGCAAGCAGCUCUGCACAGGUAGUGUUGUUGGUUGUAUCCUUCUAAUCACUUGCCUCCUCUGUCCCUCCCUUCCUAGAUAAAAGAAAAAACAAAAGACAAUGUACGUGAUGUGCUAAUGUGUUCUGUGUAUAAAUUUUGUUUGUAGUUUUGCAGUUUGUGAAGAAUAUUUUUGAAUCAAGAUUCAUUGUACGUACACAUUACUUUUGAAUCAAGAAUAUUUUGAUAGAAAAGCUUUAUACUCUAUGAUCACAUCCCAGUGGCAAAAAUAUUUGCUUAGUAAUAUUCUAAUUGAUUAAAAAAAAGUUAUAGGUUGUAUACUUGUAAUUGCAUUUAAUUCCAACCAAGACACGAGGACCAAUCAAGUCAUGGCUUGAGGAGUUAUUUUUGUUACAGGAUAGGGGAGGUUAUUUUCAGCUAUUGCAUUUAUAUCUAUUGUAAUAGAAAAAAAUUACAGAACUUAUGGAUGACAUUCGUGAGAAUGUCUCUGUGUUGACACUGCUUGCUGGAUAUGAUUGUAAAUUCAUUUGCUCAUAUGAUAUCAACUAAGCCUGUUGAUCGAUAUACAAGACCAGAAUUUACAGGUAAGGAAAUUGAUCAUUUCUAUUAAAAAAUUGUAUAUCAGUAAGAAAUUUCUUUAUUGGUAUUUUUUAUUUGAUAGAGAAUGGGCCGUUGGCAAUUGAUUCUAAACAGGCUAUUAAUCAUAUUAAGAGGAAGUAUGAGUUGGAGAAUAUGGAAAUUGUGAACAAGGAAAAAGAAAAGGUUCGAUAUGAUUUCCUGGUAUUUGUAGAAUGUAAUUUCCAUCAACAUGUUUCUAAUUAAUUUGAACCUUUAUAGGCUGACAAAGCCAUUGCAGAAAUUGAGGCAAAGUGUGGCCAAAAAAUUGAAGAAUGCAAAGAAGAACAAAGGCAGCAGUUGAUGCGCAUUGAAGAUGAACACACGUUGCUCGUAAGCAUAGAAAAAGUCUUGAAUUUGAAAUUAUUGGCUGCUUAGAAAUAUUCUAUCAUUGCAUUCUAUUACAUGGGAUCAUAAGUGUUCUGAUUUGUCUUUAGUUAUAUUUUUAAUUACUUAAUGUUCUAAUUAAUUGAAAAAACCAUUUUUUUAAAUAAAGUUACUAUCUGAUUAGUAUUUGUUAGAGAUGCAAUAUAAAGUCAUUCAUGUAUCGUUACCUAGCAGCUUGAGCUUUUUGGAUAGUUUGUUAAUGACAUGGUACGAAAUUCUCUAUGACUAUGUGGUCUAGAGAUCAAAGCAUUGAGGUGUGAACUUGAAGAUGAGUGUCAGAAGCUGGAAGAGGAGUUGCAUCUUCAAAAAUCCAAAGUAUGGAAUACCCUGAUAUGAUAAAUUAAUUUCUUGUCAUAAUUUUUAUUAUUAUAUUUAUUCUUUGGAAUAUAUUGCAGGAAGACAGGCAAAGGGCUUUGUUGCAGUUGCAGUUGAAAGUGAUGAGUGACAAGCCCAAAGAGGACCAAGAAGUGAAUUCAAAACAGGUUUACUUGUGUUUCAAUCUAUUUGUUUGUGUCUGUCUUCAAAUGGAUGCCAUAUUUGCUAAUUUUCAUGUUGGGAUACCUUUGGUAGUUUGGUUUGAUAGGAUAUUCCAUUAUUUCAGAGCUUCCUAAUUUUGUCUGGUGAUGGUGUGUUUUUACAAAUGCUAAAAUUAAGAUAGACUCCAUGCUAUUACUUACUAGUAACUGUUUCCUGGAAUUCUAUAAUUUGUUGUCUCAGACUCUCAGUCAUAGCCUCUGCCAGGGAAUAAAUACCUUGAAUUCAAAAAAUCAGACACUGCAUUCAAAGGCGGUUAUUACAUAAUAACCGUCUUUGAAUGUCGACCAGAUGUAACAUUCAAAGGCGGUUAUUACAUAAUAACCGUCUUUGAAUCUCGAGGAGAUGUAACAUUCAAAGGCGGUUAUUAUGUAAUAACCGUCUUUGAAAAUUUUUCACUUUCAAAGACGGUUGUUAUAAUAACCGUCAUAAAAAGCAAUUGCGUUUCAACGUCAAAGACGGUUGUUAUAAUAACCGUCAUAAAAAGCAAUUGCGUUUCAACGACGUUAUAUACAACGACGGUUGUAAACCGUCGUUAAAAGCACUUAUUAACCGUCGUAAAAAGCCAUUUUUCUAGUUGUGAAACUCUUUGAAGGUCUUCCAAAGACUCAAAAUUAAGUUCGUAGAAGCCACACCUUAAAGGAAUUAAUUUCCAUUGACCUAUGGGUUUCCAAGAGCUUGGAUAAUUUUACCUGAGGAUCUAAGGCUUGGAUUGGUAUUGUACCCUUUGAGAGGAUGAGCCUCCCAUGGAGGUUGUUCUUGCAUUGGCUAAGACUCCUCUAGUAGUCGUCCUCUGAUAUUUUGAUUGAUAUAAUGUCCCCCUUUAAAUAGAGCUUAGGGAAUUGGUUGCAGAGGAAAUAACAAGGCUUGUAGAGAACUUACGGAAAAGAUUUGGUUGAGGUGGAACCUUUAUGGCAUCAAGGGAACUUUAAUUAGAUGAGAGAAAGAAAGGCUAUGGGCAAAUUUGAGUAGAGUUGGCCAUGGCAGCAAGGAGAAAGUGCCGACAAUGGCGGCGUUAGGGUUGGGUGGAGCCCCCCUUGAGGGAAAAUGACAUAAGGUUGGGGGGUGGGUUCUUUCGUAGUAGUUGUAAUUAGCCUAUUAUGAUAUCUGUAACAAAUCUAUAACUGUACAAGCAGCUAGUUAUUUCAAAUACUUUCUGGCAUAAAUCUGCUUGUGUUUGCUUUCAUUUUAGCAGAGUGUCACAACACUUUCAACUGCUUCAAAAAUCACAAAAUUUAUCUCAAAUUCAUGUGGUCUAUUUUAACUUUGUUCAAUAUCACAUUUGAUCGAACUUUGCAUAUCAACUAUCAGCAAUUGGGUUUAAUAACCCAAUUUCAUGUUUAUAUGGUAACAUAUUGAGUUUUACCAUUGUUCCUCCUAGUUUAAUACUCCUCACCAAUGGUAGUUGCUACAUUAGGACACGCGACUCCUCCUAUUUGUACUAGCUGAAACAAUGGUAACGCAUAUUGAUAAUCUAGAUCUUAAAAGAUAGAGGGUAUUGUGCAGAAUGUUUGAAAACUUGAUUCAAGAAAAUAAAUGAUUGAAAAUGAAAAAUAACUCUUGGAGUAACAUAAUUCCUCUUCUCUCUAUAUUUAUUGUGAAUGUCAUAUACAAAAUUAGAAAUUAGAAACUUUUAGGAAAACAAAUAUCAGCAAGGUCUGUCUCUAAGGCAUUACAUAUAAAAUUUUGAACUACAUCAAAAAUACAAAAUUGACUAUGCAUUUGCAUCCCAUGUUUGACCAUAAGAUCCACCAUCACUUGAUUGGUUUCACGAAAAAUAUGAAACUAGAUAACAUGAUCUUUAUAUCUAUGAAUACCAUGAAUAGCCUUGACUAAAUUUGCACAGGAAUGCGUAGAGCAACAUCCUUUUGUCAAUAUAGAGAUUAAUGACACAUUGAAAAUCUGAGUAAAUCUAAUGUUACGAAAUCUCCUCCCCCAAGUUAGUCGGAUACCAUUAAAAAUUAAGUACCCCAUACCCCUGCAAAUAAAAUGGUACACCAACCUGUUUUAGCAGCAAAGUCAGUUAUGAAGCAAAACACCUCCACAAGAGUAACAACUUCCUAUAUCAACCACUUAGCAACCAUCACAAUUAAUAACCAGCCACUUGGCCAGGAUCUGGUGGAAUUAAUCCAUGCAACUUCUUACUGCCUCCAAUUGCAUGACUUGCCUUAUUAGCAAUGUCCCAAUAUGAGAAUGCAUAUAUGCUGCUACAAUGUCAUGAAUCAUAUGACAAGCUUUCCACCAAUUGUCAACUUUUCACCUAACUUGUUUAAAAACACACAUGAUUCCUACGCGUUGGUGUACGCCACCAAUUUGCUUACAAUACAACGCCAGAAAACUACUCCAUUCCCUUCCAUGAUUGGUUAGUUAGAUUAAUGAACAACCAUCGUUGCUAAUCAUCAACAAGAAAAAUUUCGUGAUUCUCGUUACCUUGAAUUAACAAGCUCCAAGCUGCGAAUAUCCUUAGUCUCUAAUGAAUUUCAUAUAAUCAUUUAAGGAAAAUGAUUAAUAAAUAAAUUAACCUUAAUUUAUUAAAUGAAUCACAAAAUUAUUGUGAUAAAUAUUACGUUCAUCGAUCAAGAUAUUUUAACUAAUUUUUAAUUUUUUUUAUUAAUUGAAAAAUUUAUUUGAGUGUUUCAUAAAUAAACUUUUUUAGUAAUUUCUAAUAUUUUUUAAAUGUUACUUAAAAUAACAUUUUUUAAAAUAUCAUUUUGUUUACUUCUAAUUUUUUUAUAUUUUUUCUUUUUAUUUUUAAUAUAUUUAUCAAAUUUUUUGAUUAAUUUUUUAAAAUAAAUCAUAAUUAUAUUGUUUUUACAUCAUUUUAUAUUUAACAGUUAAUUUUUUCUGAAUAUUUAUAAUUUAAUAAGUUAAUUUUUCAACUAACUUUAACGAAUAUAAUCCAAAAAUAUAAAAUAAGUUUCAUUAAAAAAGAAAAAGAAUUGGAAGAGUUGGCCGUGUAAAUAAUUUCCCAAGAAUAUGUAAGAGUUGGAACAUAAGAAUUUAUCUUACCUUAUUAGUAUAAUUUAUGAAAUCAAAUAAAAUUAGUAGUAUUAUUCAUCAGUUUGGAUUACUUACAAUAAAUGAAAUAAAAAUAAAGAAAAAUUAUUUUAAAAUGGAAAGACAUUUUAAAUAGAAAUUAUAAUAUACUAUCGUCCAAUCAUAUUUAAAGUAACCUCCUUACGUUUUUAUCGAUUUACAGCUUAAAAAUUAUAUUGAUUUAAAGUUUUUUUUUUUUUACAGAUUUACGGUGUAAUUUUUUGUAUAUGUUGUUAAUGAAUGAAAUUCAACUCUUUAAAAUAAAUAAGCAAAUUACGCUUCCCUUAAUAUACAGUAUAUUAUAAAUUCAACUUUUUGAAAUUUGAAACGAAGGACACAGCUUCCUAAUUUUGAAAACAAUUUAACCUUGAAGAACUUUUACCUGAAAAAACAAAAUAGAAAUUACCACAUGGUGUUACAUGUAUAGAAGUGUCCAGUGAUAAGUGUUAUGCCACCCACUCUGUGUACAUUGGUUCUUAUAUACCUAGCUAGGUUGAUGUGUUAUUAUAUAAAGACUCGUGUGUUUCCAUUUCACGCACCCCUCCACAACUCAUUGUUAGGAGUGCCCUUCCUCCACCACUAAUUAACCAUGUUCAUCCAAUUCCUCAUCUUUUCCCUCCUCUUCACUCCCUUCACGAUCAUCUCCACCAUAGCCCAUGACACCGAUGAUUUUGUGCGCACAUUAGACCGCAAAAUGUUGGGUUUGGACGAAAAGAAAGAAAAGUUCAUCCAUUUCAGGUUAAGUUGUGUUACUUAUACAAUAAAUAAGUGUUCAUAUGGAAAGGUUAAUAUGACACUGUUUUGAAUUAUAGAAAUUAUUUUACAAAUAUGUCUCUUUUAGGUUCUACUGGCAUGACGCGAUGAGUGGACGCAACCCUUCUUCAGUUGAAGUUGUGCCACCACCUUUGAAGAACUCAACCACGCGCUUUGGAUUGGUGAACAUGCUCGAUAACCCUUUGACUUUGGGACCUCAAUUGAACUCCAAGUUGGUGGGGCAAGCACAAGGGUUCUAUGCUUCUACGUCACAAAGUGAGUUUGUUUUGCUCAUGGCUAUGAAUCUUGUCAUCACCGAAGGAAAGUACAAUGGCAGCACCAUCACUAUUUUGGGGAGAAACCCUAUUUACUAUGAGGAGAGGGAGAUGCCCGUGAUUGGUGGAAGUGGCCUCUUUCGAUUUGCUAGGGGAUAUGCUAAACUUAGAACUUACUGGUUCUCACCCUCCACCAGAGAUGCCAUUGUUGAGUACAAUGUCUAUGUUUUGCAUUAUUAUUGAUAUAUGUGUGUUGAUAUGCAUUACUAUGUGUACGUAUACAUGAGAUCAUAGUAUUGAUAUGCAAUACUAUGUCUACGUAUGACAUUUAUUUUGGUUUUAUUUCUUUCUCACUAUGGCUUUGUUUGUAUAAAUUUAUCUAUGAAUUCAAAAAAAAAAAAGAUAAAAUAUAUUAACUUAUACAUUGGUGAAGAUAAAUGAGAAGGUUUCCAAAGUCGUCCAAGAAUUAAUUUUAAGUUAUGGAAGAAUCACAAUUCAUUUUACCUUUUUGGUUUGUUUUUCAUAUAUAAAUAUUUUUAUGAAAAAUUAUCCAAAUGGUUAAUUUCUUUCUUAUUUUCCGCUUUUGAGACCAUUAUACAGGCGUUCACUCACUUAUGGUGUUAAUGUUUUCUUUUUUCCUCCUCCUCAACGCAUCUCUACCCCUCACCUACGAUGCAUUUGUAAUUUUGUGGUUGAUGUGAGAAUUAGAAUAAUACAAAAAGUAAUAAAUUAUAUUUAUGAUUUGCUCCACUGUUAUGCCAUUGAAAAUAAUCUUUCAGCAGGAAGUCUAAAAUAAUUUGUUAAAGCAAUCAUAUGUUACUGUUUAUUUUGAGAGAAAUAGAGAAAAUAUAAUAAUAAAUAAAUGGAAUUUCCAACGUUUGGAUGCUCACAAAAAUAAGGAAGAAAAUAUAUUUUUAUAUAAUAUCACACAAAAAAAUAACUUAUAUAAGACUUCUUUUAAUUUUUUCUCUUUCUAAACAGGUCACGUGCUUUCUUUUCUAUUAGUAUUUCACAUUUCGUCAUUUUUAUUUUCAUCCUUUAAAAUGCCAUUAUUUAAAUUAGGUUGCUUCAAUUAUGUAGUAAUAAAUUUUCUAUAUCUAUAUAGAAAUCCAUAAAUUUAAGUCUUGAUACAUCAUUUUAAAUAUUGUAGGCAAAAAGUGGUAAGAAAUUAAGGGGACUCCAAUAAACUAUGUUGGCAGCUUGUGGUAGUUGCUUAUGCAACUCAAAUAAUUAUCAGUCAAUCUCAAAUUAAAAGUAGUUACCAUUCAUCUAGGCCACUUUUGGAAACUUUUAACACUUGCAAUCAAGAUGAACGUAGAAGUUUCCCACGAUAAACUUCACUAGUUAAGUGUUAAUGUCACAUAGAUAAAGAUUAAAUAAACACUAUAUCUCUAUCUUACCAAACAAUAAUAGAUAAAUAAUUAUUAUUUUCUAUAUCUCACUCAUAUCCUUAUCAAGUGUUUACACCUUCUUCAAAGAAAGGACAGAUAUGGCUUACAUUUGCUUAACAUGCAAUAGACUUUGUAGGUCUUCUUGAUCAUUUUCAAACUUAAAAAUACCUGUGCGAGGUUAUGACUGGUUCGAAUUCUAAAUUAUUUGAUAAAAAUAUUUCAUGGUAUAGGGUUAGACGAUGAAAUUAGCCUUAUAAUGCGUGCGCUACCAACUUUGGGCGUGUAUUUUUUGUUUGGGCCUUAAGCCCACAUCGAGGAUCUCCACAACAUUAAGCAUUUACUUUGGGUGUUCUAUUAUCUAUCAUCUAUUUUUAUUAUAAUAAAAAAUAAUAAAAGUCCUCUCUUAAUUACUAAGUCUCUAAGUUAAUUUUUUCAUAACAUUAGGCAAGUUGGGUUUUUGACGGCUCAACACGUGAGGACAUAUCUCAAGAUUCAUUGAGAUUUUACAUAAAUACUUACACAUUGCAAACUAAUAACAUUAAUUUUUUUAAUUAAGUGUUUAAAAAACUUUAUAACUUGAUCUUCAAUAUUUUAUAAUAUUUGUAAUUGAUUUUCUGGAACUAGUAUGAUUGUCACAAAUUAUUAUUUUUCUAAUAGUUGUAAAUUGUCAUAGACUAAUUUCAAAGCCUCAGUUAAAAAAAAAUUAACAAAUUUAAUUGCAAAUUUUUAAUUUAAAAAACUAAUUAAAAUUCCCAAAAUUGUUAACAACAUACCGAUGUAUUAAAUUAUUAUUUUUCAUUCAACGUCUUAAAAAAACCCAAGAUCUUAAAAAAUGGGGUUAAUUUUUACUAAGUAUGCAUUUUGUGUUUUAAAUGAGAAGUAUAUGAUUAAGCUAGAAUAAUUUGGCAUAAGUUGAUGUCUACUAAGUACUAAGUAAGGAUAUUAUGCUAUGCUGACACAGUGACACCGAGGUUGUCCUUCACACUCUUCUUCGACCAUGCAAUUGCAUACAACCUUGGCGCCAAUUUUCCACAAACCCAAACUGAUUCCCCUCUCCCUUCAAUUCUCCACCACCACCACCCUCUCUCCCUCUCUCUCACACCACCAUUCCCAAAAUGCACACCCCCAACACCAACACCACAACAUCGCCACCAUCAUCCACUCCCUCUGCAACUCUCACCGUUUCUCCGAAGCCCAUCAUCGCUUUUCCCUCUCCCUCGCCUCGGCCUCCCUCCCCGACGAGCGCACCUGCAACGUCCUCCUCGCGCGCCUGCUCGCCUCUCGCACCCCUCGCGCCACCUGGCGCCUCCUCCGAUCCCUCAUUGCUUCCAAGCCCGGUUUCGUUCCCUCUCUGGUCAACUACAACCGUCUCAUGGACCAGUUUUGCGGUGCCCAUUUACCCCGCGACGCCCAUAGGCUGUUUUUCGACAUGAGGAAUCGCGGGCAUUGCCCAAAUGUUGUUUCUUUCACCACUUUGAUUAAUGGGUACUGCUCGGUUCGUGCGAUGAGGGACGCGCGCAAGGUGUUCGACGAAAUGCUUGAGAGCGGCGUGGAGCCGAAUUCCGUGACUUACAGUGUUUUGAUUGGUGGGGUUCUUCGGGAGAGGGAUUUGGAAGGUGGGAGGGAGUUGAUGUGUAGGCUGUGGGAGAGGAUGAGUGUGGAGGUGGAAGAUUCUGUGAAGACUGCUGCGUUUGCGAAUUUGGUUGAUUCUUUGUGUAGGGAGGGGUUUUUUGGUGAGGUGUUUAGGAUUGCUGAGGAGUUGCCGUUUGGGAGUUGUUUUUCUGAGGAGGUUUCUUAUGGCCAGAUGGUGGAUUCGCUUUGCAGAGUUGGGAGGUAUAAUGGGGCAGCUAGGAUUGUUUAUCUGGUGAGGAAAAGAGGGUUUGUUCCGAGCGAUGUGUCGUAUAAUCAUGUCAUUCAUGGGCUUAGCAGGGAUGGUGAUUGUAUGAGGGCUUAUCAGUUGUUAGAGGAAGGAGCUGAAUUUGGGUUCAUGUUAUCUGAGCAUACUUAUAAGGUACUAGUGGAAGCUCUUUGCCAUGUGAUGGAUGUGGACAAGGCGAGGGAAGUUUUGAAACUCAUGCUAAGGAAGGAAGGUGUGGACAAGACUAGGAUUUACAACAUUUACUUGAGAGCUCUUUGUUUCGUGAACAAUCCCACUGAGCUUUUGAAUGUGCUAGUGUUUAUGCUUGAGAGCCAAUGUCAGGCUGAUGUGAUCACCCUCAACACUGUGAUCAAUGGUUUUUGCAAGAUGGGUAGGGUUGAUGAAGCUUCUAAGGUAUUGCAUGACAUGUUGGCAGGUAAAUUUGCUGCACCUGAUGUUGUGACCUUCACUACUGUGAUUUCUGGUAUGUUAGAUGCCGCAAGAGUCGAUGAAGCUCUUGAUCUGUUUCAUAAGGUGAUGCCAGAAAAUGGUUUAAGACCUAGUGUUGUGACAUAUAAUGCUCUUCUCCGAGGGUUAUUCAAACUAAAGAGAGUGAGUGAUGCAUUGAUGGCUUUUAAUAAUAUGGUAAGUGAAGGCAUUACUGCAGAUAGUACCACUUAUACAGUUGUGGUAGAAGGGCUAUGUGAAUCUGACCAAGUAGAAGAGGCAAAGAGUUUUUGGCACAAUGUUAUAUGGCCUUCAGGGGUUCAUGAUAAUUUUGUUUAUGCAGCAAUUCUGAAAGGGCUGUGCCACUCCGGCAAACUUAAUGAGGCUUGUCAUUUCUUGUAUGAAUUGGUCGAUUCCGGGAUCUCUCCAAAUAUAUUUAGUUAUAAUAUUUUGAUCAACUGUGCGUGCAAUCUUGGCUUGAAAAUAGAAGCUUACCAAAUUGUUAGGGAGAUGAAAAAGAAUGGGCUGACUCCUGAUUCUGUGACAUGGAGAAUUCUUGACAAGUUACAUGGCAAAGUGAGGAAGGACAUCCAUUCUGAAGAUCCAACCAUGUCAACAACUUAUGAGGGACAUGACAUGGAAUAAGUGGGGAUAGAAGCAAAUGGAGUUCAGCUUGUACUUUAAAACAAUAACAUAAAAUUGUGGUUUGGCUCAGAGGGUCGAAAGUAUGAACAAACAAGAGCUUUGAAGUUUGAACAACAUCAAUGAGGACUGAGGAGCAUUAAACUAGAAGGACCAAUGGUAAAACUCUGAAUUUUCCCAUAUAAACAGUAAACUGGGUUAUUAAACCCUGCAGACAGUUGAUAUGCAAAGUUCGAAAAAAUGUGGUAUUGAACAGAGUUGAAAGAGAUCAUAUGAAUUUGAGAUAACUUUAGUGAUUUAUGAAGCAGCUAAGAGGGCUGUGACACUCUGCCGGAAGGAAAGCAAGCACAAGCAGAUUCAUGCACUAUAAAAAAAAAACUAGCAAACAGUCAUCAAUUUGAAAUAACUAGCAACAUUUGUAAUCUACAAAAAGAAGGCUACAAUAAGUUUAGGAUUUUAUUUUUAUUUUCUUGCAAAAAAAAAAAUGAGAUAACUUGCUUUUUUCUUUCCCAUUUUUGGCAAAUGAUUUUUAAGAUGUAUGUAUUUGAAAAAGAUAAUAAGUUAGUGAAAUGAGACAAUUUAACCCGGACUUAUGAUUUUGCAGUGUUAAUAGUUCAAAUGAACAACCUUUAGAAAAUUUAUAAUAAAUUUUAGAUGAGUUGGUGAAAAAGAUAAAUUAGUCAUCGUUGUUGUUGAAAUUAUGGGUUGAUGAUAAAUUUAUCUUUUUUCACUAACUUAUCUAAAUAAUCAGGAGUAGUUUACAAACUUGGUUUACAAAUAACAUUAGCUUUAAGCUACCUUUAGAAAACCCUAUAAUUUCAACAUCGAUGAGUAAUUAUAAAUUUAUCCCGGACUUUUGAUUUUGCGGUGCUAAUAGUUCAAUGGAGCUAAUCUAAUAGAAUUGAAGUUACUAAGUUUAGGUUAUUGGUGACGACUUUGCACAAAGUUAUAGGUUUAAAUUUCAUUUCAUUGCUAUCAUUAUCACUAAAAAAACUGAUGGGUAAAAUUUUUGCUAGUGCCAUACCUAUUGGGAUGCUUGACGUAGACAAAAGUUAGAUCUGGUUACCUGGUUAUACUGAAGAAAAGAGAAAGGAAGAAGAGGACCCAUCAAGUUGUUUAUUUGAUAUAUUCAUUUUGUUAAUUAAUUAAACGGUUUCAUUUAUUCCCCUUAAUCACAACUUCACAAACAAAAGAAAGACAUUGCCUAGGUUCUGUUCCUUCCGUAUCACUCGUGAUUCCUCAUUUAAAGACACUGGUCAUUUUACUGUCCAACUUGGUCCCGCUUCUACAGUCAUUUGAUGUGUAUUCGCCUAUUUGUUGGUUUGUGGAGAAACUAAAAAAAGCUGUUUGUUAGGACUUAGCACGAGGGACUAGUCCUUAUUAUUUUGGUAUUGAAAAAUCAUUUUUUGCACUUUAUUUUAAAUACAUGUUUGAUUAAUAUUAAUUAUUAUUUAAUUUCACAUAGCUCAAGUGCGUUUAACUAUUUAAAAUUAAUUUUAUCACAAUCAUGUCUACCCGACUUCAAGACAAGCCUAAUUGAAGUUGGGUAAUGAUGCCCAAUAUUAUAACUAGGUGUUAGCUAGCAAUGUUUAUAGUAAAUGUUCGCUUAAUCCACUUGCUUGAAAAGCUUUUCAAUUGUAAAUAUUUGCACCCAGCUUCAGCCUUCAAAAUAAAAAAUUGUUCAACAUUUGCACUUGCAAAAUUUUUCAUAGUUUGUUACUUUCUAUCUAAACUCUGAAACAAAAUCAGCGUACGUGCAUUCAACCCAUCACACAGGUUUGUGCACUUUCCGUUUAGCUUCUUGCCAUGUUCAUGAUUUUUCUCAGGAACUAAUUUCAAAUAUUCCUGGCCUUUCAGUGAUUCAGAAAUUUUCAAUUUUUUCUCAUCAUGUAGUAGAAGUUCUAGAUGCUCAAAUUUGUUGCUUCUGCAGUAGUCCUUAUAAUAAUAUGUUUCUAAGUAAGUAUAGUGGUUAUGAUGGGGACAAAAAAUGCUAGUCUUGGAACUUGGUAAGAGUCUUGAAACAGUUUGUCUCUGAAUAAUAACAGUACCAGUACUCUCCAGUCUCACGGUACUAUUACCUCCACACAAUGAAAAGCAUGCAUUGCCUUAAGAAACUUUAACCACUACUUCUACCUAUCCUAUGCCUUUUCCCUUUAGGCAUCUGUCUCAAUAAUUUGUUCUUUAUCAGUUUCUUCCUUUUAUUUGUACAAAUGACAAAUGAAAAGAAAACUAAGCAUAGUACCUCCUUUUUUUUUUGUUAGUAGCUACUAAUAAGUAAAACAUGAGAAAGCGUGAUCAUCUUGUUAGCCUUAAGCAUAAACCAUUGAGGAAAACUAAACUUUUGCCUUAAGAGUCACUUAUCAGAGGAAAAUUGUGCAGAAAAAACAGUUAAGGUGGCACACCCAAAAUGGUUAUUCAUCCAAUAAUUAACACAUAAUAGCAUCUUUAAUGGGAAUUGAUUAUGGAGUCCAUCAACUUAAGAACUAGUUCUACUAUUGGAGUAUUUAACAUGACAGUCGCUUAUACAAACAGCUAUUAAUUCUUAAUUGUUUUUCAAAAUUGAAACAAUUAAUUAUAGGCCCCAUUUUAAGUUCUUGAGAGUUACACCAUUAAAGAAAAAAAUUGUUGAAGUCCUUUAACCCUGUGACCUUGUAUAUGGCCCCAAAUUUGAGUUACACGACUCUACAUAAUUGCACCAUUGAAGACUGUUAUUAAGCCUAAUGACAAACAAUGUGGCACUAAACAAGUAGGAUUUGAAUAAUCGAUCUCUCUUUUAUUUUUUUUUAAAAUGGAAAUAUAAUGAUGUUUUUUUUAGAGAGAGAUAUAUACACACAUACAAACCACUCUUUUUCUUUCUAAUUGUAAAACACUUUCAACUAAUUCACAUUCAUUAAGAAAAAUAAUUAAUUUAAUUAAUCAUAUUAAAUAUGUCAAUUAAUUAUGUUAUCAUUUUUAAAAUUAUUCUUUUCUUAUCUUUUUUAUUUACUUGAUUAUUUUUUAUUAAUAUUUAGAAAAAGAAUAAUUAAGUAAAAAUAUAAAAAAAAAUUAACAUAUUAAAAAAUUUAUAAAAAAACAAAUAAAAUUCUAAAAAUAAUCUUAUAAUUUAAAACAGAGGGAGUAACUUUUAUGCAACCCUGACCGACCGAGUCUAUGUUUGAAAUUUAGUUGAAUUCAACGUUAAUUGAUUUUCAAAAGAAAAUUACAACAUAAUUGCUUUGAAAUUUUUGCAUUGAAACACACAAUCUAUGAUUACAACACUAAUCCAAACACAUCAUGGAUCUGCAUACAAAAAUCUGUGUAGGAUUGUCUUUAGUUUGUAUCCAAUAUUUUUUCAACUUGUAAUUAAUUUCCCUGGCGUGAAGCAAGGUCACAGGCCCAGGCACUGGACCAGCUAUAUUCUCAGUUUCCCAGACUGGAAACUGUUGAGAGAUUCGCUGCCUCAGUAAUAAUUACAAUGUUUCUUGCUUUGAAGCAAGCAAAAUCCAAAGCCUGCAAAUACCUUAUUCACAUUUUUGGUCAUGCCAAGAUCGAGUGGCUCAGUUUUCCAGCAUCAACAGUGGCUCAUGAACUAAAUUGGGUAGGCCUAUCAAGAAGGUAAUUCAUGCAACAUGCAUGCAUGAUUCUUAGUAUUGAUUAAACUCAGCUUGACAAGUGAGACAAAUAUUGCACAUAUAUGAUGCAGCUAAAAUACGUGACCACUCUUGGAUAUGUGUAAUAGUUUCAUAUGCAGAAAUUGACAUUUGACAAUACACGCUACAAAAGCCGUGUCCAAUCACUUUCAAAUUUUAAUAUUUAUAGUGAGUAUAUAUCAAACCUUGAUAAAGAAAUUCACUUGAAAAUGAUUUAUGCUCUGUCAAGUCUUUCUAAAUUGAUAUGGCUAUGACAUGCUAUAUCAUGAAUUUCAUCCAAAUUAUGGGGGCAAAUUUGUUCCCGCAAACAUACGACAAAUAUGGGUUCUGUGCCUUUUAGGAUUUAUGGACAAACAAAGUCUGCAAAGCUUAUGGGCUAUGGCAUUGGCGUGCGAUAUUUUAUUCAAUGUUUUUGUUAUAUUCAAAUGAUUUUAUUUUUUGUUCAAAAAAUUUCUGUCUCUCAAAAUAUAAAUGAAAAAAAAAAAAAGUGAAUAAAGUGAGUUCCCUGUUGACCGGGGCAAAAGCUUACCCUCGUGAAAUUAAAGCCAUUCCCUCCAGGUGGGUCGAGUGUACCGCGAGGGAGGUCAUGUUCCCUCCAUUCAUGUUUUUAUUUGAGUUUUUAUGUAAUUUAUUUUCUCUUUUUAUUUAUUUGUCUUAAUGAGGCUCCUCAAAUUAUUAUUAUUUUUACUAUAACUUAGCUUUGUUCCGGAUUUUCUUGAAAUAGAAGAACACUAUAUACAGUUAGCAACAAGCUCAUUUACAUGAAAAAUCAACAUUUCUUGCACGCACAGUUGUUUAUUGGGUACAGUUUUUAAAAAGCUCAAGACAGUAAUCAAAUCACUAAUUUUAACAAGGACUUUGCUGUCUUUUUUAGUCAUUAUUUUAAUGUAUUUUGAGAAUCUAAUUAAUUGUUACUAAGGAGCAUGGUGGUCAAGCUAGAAUUGUUAAUGAGUUCUCUCAAAUUCAAGUUUUAUAUAUAUAUGCACACACAAUUUAUUUAAUAAUCAAAAAAUAAUUUUAUCAACUAUAAUAAUUUUACUUAAUUCAUAUUUUAUGGACUAUAAUAAUUUUACUUUACUCAUGUAACCUCAUAAGAACGUAAAAAAUCUCUUUCACACACACAUUUAUAUAACUUGUGUUUGAAGUGUAAAUACUGAGAUUCCUUUGCGAAAAUAUUUUUCAAAAAUUCUUAUUAAAUUCCUCAUGUUUAACAUUUCCAAUGGUAUAUCUUCCCUUGGUUUUAUCAAAAUUUAAUUGUCCAUGGAAGUUUUAAAAGUAUUAUUUUUCUUCAAUAAUAUCUCUCAAUUGUUAUUGGAAGAGAGAUCCUUCUUGAAUAUAUAUUUUAGGAAACUUUUCAAAAAGAUCAUCUUUCUCACAAUUACUUUGGACUAAACACACUUAAUGUUCAACUCUUAAGUAAUGCAUAUUGUUGGAAUAAUAAUAUAAUUAAUUUCUUGAAAUUAUUCUUAACUGUAUAAUUAGGAACUCCUCUUUGUUCAUACCUUAGCUCUUUUGCACUGACUUCACUCCUGCCCUCAUCAACACUCAGGAUAUUACAUGUUCAUCAGUUUUUACUUAAUUUAUCCCAACAAAAUAAAUUUUAUCUCUCCAAUAAUUUUUUUCCAUACACAUAAUCAGAUGUUAAACUCUUAACAACAUGCCAAAAAAUCUAAUGAUUUUUAUAUAUAAAGAAGAACCUAAUUAUCUAUCAACUAUACCGAACAUUCAGACAAAAAAUCCCUUUUUAAUCUAAAGCAAUAAGAAAACACAAUUUAAAUGUUUUUCUCUUAUUUUUCUUUUUAUAUUUCUUUUUCGAAUUUUAUAAUAAAAUUAGAAAUAUCUCAAUACGAGUGUAGCUAGGUAUUCAAACACAUGUCAUGUUUCACUAUAUAUAGGUCAAACACUAGUCAUUUAUCUAUUUCAAGUGAAAGUGAGAUUAACUUUUUACUAAGACAAAUAUUUUUUAUAAAAAAAAUAUUUUUUUUAAUUAGUUUUCUUAAGAGCAACAAUUAAAGCAGAAAUGUUAGCAAUCUGACACUUUUUUUUAAUACAUUACCGAAUGACUAAAAAUUAUUAAAAGCUAUCAAUUAAAAAUAGAUUAAAUGAGAAUUAGCCUAUAAAAAUUUAUAAGUUUUGAUAAAUUUCAAUGAAUCAGACAUAUUUUUUAAAGAAAGAGUCAGAAAAAGUAUUACUCGCAUUUGUCUAGUUAAAAAUAAAAACUUGUUAAAUAAUAUAUAACAUUUGAUAUUAUUAACAUAUUUUAUAAAAAAAUAUUUAUUUAUUAAUUGUUCAAUUAACAUGCAACAGAAUAUAAAAAAAUGUAAAUGCUAACUAGUGUAUUUGGAAUAUAUAUUAGUUAAAAAAUAAAAAAGAGAAAGAUUUUUAUUGAGAUGCAUAAAAUUGUGUUGCUGAUAGCUUUUUUUUAUGUUCUUUUAUGAUAUUUAGAACAAUUUUUUUUUCUUCUUUUAGUUUCUUAAGAGCAUUUCCAAUGAGUAUAAUUUAAGCAAUUAAUUUUGAGUAAUUUAUCUUAUGUUAAUUGAUUCCUACAAUAUUAUAUUAUAGUUAAAUAAUUCAUAUAUAUUUUAUUCUAUUAAUAUAAUUUUAAAAAACUAUUAAAUUAUCUCUUUGUAUUAUUCUUAAACGGUAAAAAAAAUAUUAUUUUACUCAUAAAUAACUACUAUUUAUAUAAGCAAAUGAAACUUAAUUUUAAAGUAUCUAAUUUGACCGGUAAAUCACUCUCAAUAGAAAAAAAAAUAACAAUAUCUAAAAAAUAAGCAACUAUUUUAAAUUUAUGUUGAAUGGAUACUUGUUAAUAAAAGCUUAAAUUACUCAUUUUUUUAAGUGAUUUUUUUAAUUUUAGUUUAUAUUUUAAUUCUUUUUUAAUCUAUGUAGUUUAAAAGUAUUUUUUUAAUCUUUAUAAUUUAAAAAUGAUAUUUUUAGUUCUUAUAAUUUAUAUUUUAAUUACUUUUUAUAAUUAAUUAAAAUAUAAAAUAUUUUUAUAGUUAAUUAUAAUUGAUAAUAUUACUCAUAUUUUAAUGAUAAAGAUUAAAAUAGAAUUAAAUAAGGAUUAAAAAAAUUAAAAUAUAAAAUAAAAAAAUCACUUUCAAAAAUAUAUAUAAAAAAAAUUAAAAUAUAAAUGAUAAAAGUUAAAAAAACCAUUUUCAAAAAGAACACUUUCAAAUUAAUUCAACCAUAAUUUAAAAAAAGAGAGAAAUGUAAACAGUAAACAUGCUGCAACUGCAAGACAAAGCGGUGUCUGCCCCAAUCACUUUCCAACUGCGCUCGGUUUGAAAGUUGGAAACCCUCCACUCCUAGCUACUACACCAGCGCGUGCCUUCACUCUCUCCUCCCUUUUCAAAUUCGCUUUCACACCUUCAACUUCAAGCUCAACUCGAAGCCACUCCACAGAGAGAACCAAGCCCAAAAAAGCUGAGAACUUUGGCACAAAACCAACAAGCCCACCUUCAAAUCACCCCAUAUUCCCCAUUCCCAUGCAGAGAUUCCAUCUGGGUCUCCCUCAUUCACCACCAAUGGACACCAGCACACCCUUCCAAGACCUUCCAGAAGCAUCUCCAAAGCCCUUCUUCAAGAAAACCACACUCACUUCCUUCAUCAUGUCUUCAACACCUUCCUUCAAGGAAGACACCUACUACAUCUCCCACCUCAAAUCCUCCGAGAAAAAAGCCCUCCAAGACCUCAAGAACAAACUCCAAUCUUCUUAUUCUUCCACCCC